ACCAGUUCAUCAAGCGCGGACGUGGAGCAUCGGCGACCAGCGAACAGGUAGGAGUAAGUUUUUUUCAUCAUUAGCCAUCAGUCAUUACUCUUAAUCAUUUAAUGCGAUCACUCAUGCCGAACUAACAAAACGAGUCAGGUGUAGACUGUAUGUGUGCCAAAACCGUUACGACCAAUAUGUGAAUGGAUUUUAUCUGUUUGACAGCCUAAAAAAUCGCACAAACAGUGGUAGGAAUUCAAACUCUACCCCACUUCAAUGAAAUAAUUAUCAACCUUGGAUUAGCACAUCAAGAACAGAACAUCAAAUCCAUUAUUAACUUCCAGCAGGAUUAAGCAUCAAUCAUCCAAGUUAGAGGAAUCCUCAAGACAUCACAGAAAGUAAGUCAAUCUGGCAUAUAAGCAUGGGUAUGAAUAAAAAACUACAUAUAUAUUGUCUAUGAAAAACAUCACGGCAAAUUCGGAUCUGCGCAGCAACAUGAUGAGGAGAGAUCUAUCCAGUCCAGACAAAGGGGAUUACAAGCAAACAAAAGAAAAUCGCAUAUGUACAGAAGGAAUGGAUGAAAGGGAAUUACAAGAAAACAAAGGAGAGCAAUCUAUUUCGGAUUUAACAGCAGAAGUGAUAUGCAUCUCGAUUAAGCCAUACAGCUAGAUCACCCGUCUCAAAGGAAUAGAUGGAACAAAAUAAAAAUCACCAAAAAAGAAGUGCAAAUCUGGAACAGAUGAUCAACCAGGAGAAAAGCACAAGUAAUUGACGUGUGAUCCAGCCUCACCCGACCGAAACAAUGAAGAAAAUGAUUUUUCCCGGCCAAAUUCGUGGACGAGGGCCUUGCCCUGGGCAGAUCCGGUGUUCUGCAAACUUGAGUUGAGCCACCGCCGGAGUGGAAGAUGACGCGGGAUCCGGGUGAUUUGGUCGUCGGAGUGGAGGCUUGAACCUGUACAAAUCAAGCUCCCUUAGUCAACGUUAUUCAAAUCUGGCACGGGGACUAGGCACACACGAUGACCUAAGAAAAAAAAGAGGGCACGGAAUACACAUAUCUGGCGCAGUCGACGCCGUUGGUGGACAUCUCGCCGGAUAGCACCCCACCGCCGUCGCCCGAGGGGAAAGAGAAGAGGGCAGAGAGGCAAGUCUGUUUUGUGGCUGGGGCUUCUCCCACGGGGCAAAGUUUUGGGAGAGGUGGACGACAAGAUUCUCCUUCCUGUGCUGUGGCCGGGGGCAGUCGCGGGCGAUGGGCCGCACAGAAUACGCCUACACACUCCCUAGGCGUAUCGCGGGCUGUAUUUCACGGCAUAGGCCUGCCAACCCACUGACAGGAUGCACAUCCCAAGGCCCAAAUGGAUGCCCACGAUACCGGCCUACCUGUGGCUCGGCCUCUGAAAAUUCGCACUCCGGUUAUCAUGCCUUUGCAUGGAGACCGAGCUAAGAGCCGCGGAAGAGAUGACUUCAAACGUGUGGAUGCGAAUCACCUCAUUGUUUGGAUAAGGCUUCACAUGAGACCGCUUCAGAUAUGAGUCCCACGGGCCACGUGUCGUCGGCGUUCAACCUGUGAAACUUCCGAGUUUGUAAUUUUUUGUUUCAAGAUAUCAAUCCAGUAGGAGGUGUUCAUAGAGAUAGGAUAUACGUGUAUAUUGUUUUAUCACCCAAAUUUAUAAUUUACUAUACUUUUACGAAAAUUACUACAUUUUACAUAAUGUGUUACUAGAUUUUGUAUAUAUAUGAGCGUCUGCGUCUGUACCGUGUUAAAAUAUAUAAAAAGUUUUCGAAAAGAAAAGGUAAUAAGCCCAGGCUUUGCCCUUUUCAGAAGCUUGGACCGGGCGGCUACUGUGCCACGGCUGCGAGGCGGCACUUCGAAAGUUGGAAUGUGCGUUCUUCUGACGAGAAGUUUCUCAUGCAAAAGUUGCACGUAUGAAGGUGUAGAAAAAGCUCUACUUGCAUUUUAUACUAAACAAAAGCGAGGCAUGUGCGCAAUGCCGUCACGGCGGCCGUCACUUCAUGCCACCCAACUGAAGGACGCACGUUGUUACCUCGCCUUCUUGGUUGCUGCUGCUGCUUCAUGUAAUGUGGUGCACUAAACCUGGGAUGUGCCAUGCAUCAACCAUCAUGGAAAGCUAGGUUUGGCUGCAAGCUCCUGUCUCUUACCGCCAGUGCAAAAUGGGAUGCAUUCGAUCUCUUUCCAAUCAGCAGCUGCCACCUCACACUGAGGGUUGAAUUGCCCAUCGCGGUCUCGCCUAGCCUGCAUGAUUGCGAGCAUUUUCUGCGAUUCUUCGUCGGCCUACGUCUGCAGAUUGUGCCGUCACCAAUGACACAAUUUCAGUGGUAGGUAGGUUGAUCCAGCAUACAUAUAGAUAUAUACAUGCAUGGCAAGUUAGCUGAAGACCACACAAUUUCCAGUGCUAAUUAAUACGGAUGGAUGUGUUACGUCGAACAAUACUAACCAAAAUACCCUACACGCCACGACUGGCCUUAUCAUGAUAUGUCAAUGCUUAUCUAAGCCAUAUAUCACCUGUGCGUCCACAGAAGCGUGGUUGACAUUCUUCGGGCGGUCUAGUGGCUACAGAUGAUGUGAACCCUAGCCCCUUGUAUGUGCAAUGGUCAUUCUCAUUCGGGCGUCCCGGGCCAAUACGUACGUGGCGCCCCGGCAACGGAUAGAUGAAACGUCUCGGGUGCCAGCAUUGCAGAUUAUUUUUUUAGUUGAACACACAGAAACGGAGGCAAAAGUUUUGACUCGUCGAUUAAUUAAGUACUCCCUCUGUUCCCAAAUAUUUGUUUUUCUAAAGAUUUUAAUAAGUAACUACAUACGGGCACUAGUAGAAAAGGGGGCAAUGGCCCAGGCCAGUUCAGCCCAUUAGUCCCGGUUCAAUCCAGAACCGGGACCAAUGGAGCUAUUUGCCCCGGUUCGUGAGCCCAAGGGACCGGCCGGGCCACGUGGGCCAUUGGUCCCGGUUCGUCCGGACCUUUUGGUCCCGGUUGGUGGGACGAACCGGGACCAAUGGGCCUGGCUCCUGGCCCACCACUAUUGGUCUCGGUUGGUGGCAUGAACCGGGACCAAUGGCUACCCGUUAGUCCCGGUUCAUGCCACGAAUCGGGACCAAUAGUGUUGCCUAUAUAUACCCCCUCGCUCGCGAGCAGAGCACUCCAGUGCUCUGUUUUUCUCUUGCCGGCGAGGGGUGCUUUGUGGUGCUCUAGCUCACCUCCAUAGCACAUGAGGUGUUCGAUGAAAUGCCCGAGCCACACUACUUAAGCUUUCUCCUCUCCAAGCUCGACCUCCAACCUCUAUUUUCCUCAAUAUUUGUCUAGGUUUAGCGGUCCAUCACGCCCCGUCCCCGUCUUCACCACCGUCGAUCACCCGCGCCGAUCUCAUCGCCAGCACCACCGUGGUGAGCCUCUUGUUCUUAUCUUCUUUCUGAAAGGAAAAAUAUUCUUACUUGUAUUAUUUUCUUACUUUUAUUAUUGCAUCUUAUAUAGUGCGAUGGUUUUGGUAUCCGCCCCCGUCGGCCCUCGUCCUGUCUAUGAUUCGGAUGUGGUAUAUAUUAUCUUUUCAUAACUAUUGGUUCAUUUAUUGUUUAUGAAAAUUAUGCCGACCAACGUGACAUAGAUUUUAUUUAUCUAGGAGGUUGUUGAACCGGAAAUUCCAACCGACCCUAUUGUCAAGAGAUUAAAUUUAGUUGAAAAAGAAAACAAUUUCUUGAAGGAAAAAAUAAAAAAACUUGAGGAGGAGAAGAUGAUAUUGGAGUUGCAUGUUGCGGAUGUCGUCGAUGAUCACAAGAUCAAGAUGGAUGCAAUGCGCUUGAAGAUGAGAGAGAUUAGAAAAUAUGCCAUUCAUAUCGAGGCUUGGUAUCAUUAUGCCGUUGGAUCAGUUGUUACCUUGGUUGCGAUUAUGAUCGCAUUUGUUUUCGCAUUGAAAUGUUUUACAUAGUUUCAGUGUAUGGUUUAAUUAAUUUAGAUGCUCUACAGAGCUUUAUGUUGUUAGAUGAGAACUAUGUAUGUACUUUGGUUUUUAUGUGAUGAUGAACUUCUAUUAAUUUGGUCACUUAAUUAUCUAUUCAUGAUGUUCUGUAAUGAUUUUUGACACACUUAAUUAUAUAUAAUGCACGCAGAUGAACCGGCAAUGGAUGUACGGUGACAGACACACCUCCAAGUACAUUAAGGGCGUGCAUGAUUUUCUCGAAGUGGCUGAGGCAAACAAGCAGAAUGGUUUUAUGUGUUGUCCAUGCCCUAUAUGUGGGAAUACGAAGUCUUACUCUGACCGGAAAAUCCUUCACACCCACCUGUUUUACAAGGGUUUUGUGCCACAUUAUAAUGUUUGGACGAGGCACGGAGAAAUAGGGGUUAUGAUGGAAGACGGCGAGGAAGAAGAGUACGAUGACAACUAUGUGCCCCCUGAAUACGGUGAUGCUACUGAACAUCAAGAUGCACCAGACGAUGUGCACGAUGGUGCUGCAACGGGCGAAGCUGCUGAAGAUCAAAAGGAACCAGACGAUGUGCCCGAUGAUGAUGAUCUUCGCCGGGUCAUUGUCGAUGCAAGGACACAAUGCGAAAGUCAAAAGGAGAAGCUGAAGUUUGAUCGCAUGUUAGAGGAUCACAAAAAGGGGUUGUACCCCAAUUGCGAAGAUGGCAACACAAAGCUCGGUACCGUACUUGAAUUGCUGCAGUGGAAGGCAGAGAGUGCUGUGCCUGAUAAAGGAUUUGAGAAGCUACUGAAAAUAAUGAAGAAGAAGCUUCCAGAGGAUAACGAAUUGCCCGACAGUACAUACGCAGCAAAGAAGGUCGUAUGCCCUCUAGGAUUGGAGGUGGAGAAGAUACAUGCAUGCCCUAAUGACUGCAUCCUCUACCGCGGUGCCUGAUAAAGGAUCUGAACGCAUGCCCGGUAUGCGGUGCAUUGCGGUAUAAGAUCAGACGAGAUGACCCUGGUGAUGUUGACGGCGAGCCUCCCAGGAAGAGGGUUCCUGCGAAGGUGAUGUGGUAUGCUCCUAUAAUACCACGGUUGAAACGUCUGUUCAAAAACGGAGAGCAUGCCAAGUUGAUGCGAUGGCACAGUGAGGACCGUAAGGAAGACGGGAAGUUGAGAGCACCCGCUGACGGGUCGCAGUGGAGAAAAAUUGAGAGAAAGUACUGGGAUGAGUUUGCAAAGGACCCAAGGAACGUAUGGUUUGCUUUAAGCACGGAUGUCAUUAAUCUUUUUGGGGAGCAGAGCAGCAAUCACAGCACCUGGCCCGUGACUCUAUGUAUGUAUAACCUUCCUCCUUGGAUGUGCAUGAAGCGGAAGUUCAUUAUGAUGCCAGUUCUCAUCCAAGGCCCUAAGCAACCCGGCAACGACAUUGAUGUGUAUCUAAGGCCAUUAGUUGAAGAACUUUUACAGCUGUGGAAUGGAAACGGUGUACGUACGUGGGAUGAGCACAAAAAGGAGGAAUUUGACCUAAAAGCGUUGCUGUUCGUGACCAUCAACGAUUGGCCCGCUCUCAGUAACCUUUCAGGACAGACAAAGAAGGGAUACCACGCAUGCACUCACUGUUUACUUGACACCGAUAGUAUAUACCUGGGAAGCUGCAGGAAGAAUGUGUACCUGGGCCAUCGUCGAUUUCUUCCGACCAACCAUCAAUGUCAAAAGAAAGGCAAGCAUUUCAAAGGCGAGGCAGAUCAUUGGAAGAAGCCCGCCAUGCGUACCGGUGAUCACGUACUUGCUAUGGUCAAUGAUUUACACGUAAUCUUUGGAAAGGGUCCCGGCGGACUAGCUGUUCCGAAUGACGCUAAGAAUCACGCACCCAUGUGGAAGAAGAAAUCUAUAUUUUGGGACCUACCCUACUGGAAAGACCUAGAGGUCCGCUCUUCGAUCGACGUGAUGCACGUGACGAAGAACCUUUGCGUGAACCUGCUAGGCUUCUUGGGCGUGCAUGGGAAGACAAAAGAUACACCUGAGGCACGAGAGGACCUGCAACGCUUGCACGAAAAAGAGGGCAUGCCUUCGAAGCAGUAUGAAGGUCCUGCUAGCUACACUCUUACGAAAGAAGAGAAAGAAAUAUUCUUUCAAUGCCUGCUCAGUAUGAAGGUCCCGACUGGUUCUCGUCGAAUAUAAAGGGAAUAAUAAAUAUGCCAGAGAAAAAGUUCCAGAACCUAAAGUCUCAUGACUGCCACGUGAUUAUGACGCAACUGCUUCCGGUUGCAUUGAGGGGGCUUCUACCGGAAAACGUCCGAUUAGCCAUUGUGAAUCUAUGUGCAUUCCUCAAUGCAAUAUCUCAGAAGGUGAUCGAUCCAGAAAUCGUACCAACGCUAAGGAGUGAUGUGGCGCAAUGUCUUGUCAGUUUCGAGCUGGUGUUCCCACCAUCCUUCUUCAAUAUCAUGACGCACGUCCUAGUUCAUCUAGUCGACGAGAUUGUCAUUCUGGGGCCCGUAUUUCUACACAAUAUGUACCCCUUUGAGAGGUUCAUGGAAGUCCUAAAGAAAUAUGUUCGUAACCGCGCUAGGCCAGAAGGAAGCAUCUCCAUGGGCCAUCAAACAGAGGAUGUCAUCGGGUUUUGUGUUGACUUCAUUCCUGGCCUUAAGAAGAUAGGUCUCCCUAAAUCGCGGUAUGAGGGGAGACUGACUGGAAAAGGCACACUUGGAAGGGACUCUAUAAUAUGCAGGGACGGAUAUUCUUGGUCUCAAGCACACUACACAGUUCUACAGAACUCUACCUUGGUGACCCCGUAUGUCGAUGAACACAAGAACAGUCUGCGCUCCAAACACCCGGAGCAGUGCGACGACUGGAUUACAUGUGAACACAUCAGGACUUUCAGCAGUUGGUUGGAAACACGUCUCAGAGGUGACAGCACUGUUUGUGAUGAGCUGUACUUGUUGUCCAGGGGACCAUCUUCGACUGUAAUGAUUUGGAAAGGAUACGAGAUAAAUGGGAAUACAUUUUACACGAUUGACCAAGAUGAAAAGAGCACCAACCAAAACAGCGGUGUCCGCUUAGAUGCAGCAACCGACAAUGGAAAUGACACAUAUUAUGGUUACAUAGUAGACAUAUGGGAACUUGACUACAGAGUAGAUUUUAAGGUCCCUUUAUUUAAGUGCAAGUGGGUCAAUCUGUCAGGAGGCGGGGUACAGGUAGACCCACAGUACGGAAUGACAACAGUGGAUCUGAAAAAUCUUGGGUACACUGAUGAACCGUUCAUCCUAGCCAAUGAUGUGGCACAGGUUAUCUAUGUGAAGGACAUGUCUACCAGACCGAGGAAAAGAAAAGAUAAGGAAGCGAAUACAUCAUACAAUGAGCCAAAGCGCCACAUAGUUCUUUCAGGAAAAAGGGACAUCCUGGGAGUGGAGGGCAAGACCGACAUGUCUGAAGAGUAUGAAAAUUUUCAUGAAAUUCCCCCCUUCAAAGUCAAGGCUGACCCAAGCAUCCUGAUAAACGAUGAAGAUUAUCCAUGGUUACGGCGCAAUAAGCAAACGACACAAGCGAAGAAAAAGUGAAGACUUUCUCCCGCAACUAUUAUGAUGAUACGAUGCCAACUUUGUAACAGACGAGUAUGAUACCAUUGUCCGUUUUGUACAUGCACAUGCUAUGCCAACUUUUUCAGAGUUCAUUUGAAAACUAUGAAUUGUCGCCAACCGAAGGGCGCUCACACCGGUUUAUAAGCCCGUCCCUCUACACGCCUUGUUGAGCUCACAAACUUGUGAUUCGCACAAAUUUCAAAGAAAACUAAUGGCACAAACAGAAAGUUUAUAAUUUUGCUGACCUAAAAGCAAAAAGAAUUAAAAAAUAAAGCAAAAAACCAAAAGAAAAUAAAUAAUGCAGAAAACAAAACAAAAAAAACUUGAAAAAAUAAAAAUAGCAACAAUAAGUAUUUUGUUGUAAGUAGAAACAAAAUAAAAUAAAUAAAUAAAGCAAAAAAGUGUUUUCAAAUUUGAAAACUAAUGGCACUAACAGAAAGUUUAUAAUUUUUCUAAAACUAAAAGCAAAAAGAAUUAAAAAUUAAAGCAAAAAAAAUGCAGAAAGCAAAACCAAAAAANNNNNNNNNNNNNNNNNNNNNNNNNNNNNNNNNNNNNNNNNNNNNNNNNNNNNNNNNNNNNNNNNNNNNNNNNNNNNNNNNNNNNNNNNNNNNNNNNNNNNNNNNNNNNNNNNNNNNNNNNNNNNNNNNNNNNNNNNNNNNNNNNNNNNNNNNNNNNNNNNNNNNNNNNNNNNNNNNNNNNNNNNNNNNNNNNNNNNNNNNNNNNNNNNNNNNNNNNNNNNNNNNNNNNNNNNNNNNNNNNNNNNNNNNNNNNNNNNNNNNNNNNNNNNNNNNNNNNNNNNNNNNNNNNNNNNNNNNNNNNNNNNNNNNNNNNNNNNNNNNNNNNNNNNNNNNNNNNNNNNNNNNNNNNNNNNNNNNNNNNNNNNNNNNNNNNNNNNNNNNNNNNNNNNNNNNNNNNNNNNNNNNNNNNNNNNNNNNNNNNNNNNNNNNNNNNNNNNNNNNNNNNNNNNNNNNNNNNNNNNNNNNNNNNNNNNNNNNNNNNNNNNNNNNNNNNNNNNNNNNNNNNNNNNNNNNNNNNNNNNNNNNNNNNNNNNNNNNNNNNNNNNNNNNNNNNNNNNNNNNNNNNNNNNNNNNNNNNNNNNNNNNNNNNNNNNNNNNNNNNNNNNNNNNNNNNNNNNNNNNNNNNNNNNNNNNNNNNNNNNNNNNNNNNNNNNNNNNNNNNNNNNNNNNNNNNNNNNNNNNNNNNNNNNNNNNNNNNNNNNNNNNNNNNNNNNNNNNNNNNNNNNNNNNNNNNNNNNNNNNNNNNNNNNNNNNNNNNNNNNNNNNNNNNNNNNNNNNNNNNNNNNNNNNNNNNNNNNNNNNNNNNNNNNNNNNNNNNNNNNNNNNNNNNNNNNNNNNNNNNNNNNNNNNNNNNNNUCGCCGUCGCCCGCGCCCCUGCCCCGACGCGUGCCGCCCCGGCCCGCCCUCGCCGUCAUCCGCGCCUCUGCCCCGACCCCGCCAUCCUCGCCGCAGCUUGGUCCGGCCGCCGGCGCCCUCCUUUUUCAUAUUUUUUUUCAUAUAUAUAUGCUUGUUUUAUAUAUUUUUUUGUAUGAAUGUAUGUAUUUUUUAAUUGUAAUAUGCAUGGUGUUUUCAAUUGUUCUCUGAUUUAGUACAUUAAUUUUAGGUUAGUUUCAUUUUUAGAAAUUUUUUAUAUAUUUAGGACGAAGGUAGAGAAGGAAGAAGGAAGAAGAAGAAAAAGUUUUAUAUAUGCAAAAGUUACAUUUUUAGAAAAGUUUUAUAUAUCUAGCUAGAAAGAAGGAAGAAGAAGAAAAAGAAGGAGAGGAAAAAGGAAAAUAAGAAGAGGAAGAAAGGAGAAGAAGAGGAGAGGAAGAAGAGGAGAAAUAAAUAAGAAGAGGAAAAAAGAAGAAAAAGAAGAGGAGAAGAAGAAAGGAAUAGAGGAGAAGAAGAAAAAAUAGAAAAUAUUCUAUUUUUUCUUCUUCUCCUCUAUUCCUUUCUUCUUCUCCUCUUUUUUUUCUUCUUUUUUUUCUUCGAUCUUCUCCUCUGUCAUCAUCGAUAUACCCCUCCCGAUAACUUCAACAUGAGGGGGGGUCCAUAUACCCCUCCCGAUAACUUCAAUACGUGGGGGGUCGAUAUACCCCCUCCCCGAUAACAUUAAUUUCUCCCGUGUAUGUAUCUCGUCGUUGUCGAUAUUACCCCCUUGAAGCGUUGUCGAUAUUAUCCCGGGUCGAGGGUUCUAGGGUCGAGGGAUCGAGGGUUCCAGGAUCGUCUAGGGGUCGAGGGUUCCAGGGUUGUCGAGGGUUCAAGGGGUCGAGGAUCGCCGAGGGGUCGAGAGGGUUCCUAGCUAGUGUCAAAGUAUUGAAGAAAUCCAUGGCUUCAUCAUUAGCCGGAAGUAACCAUGGCAUGAUGGUACGAAGUCCUCCAAAGUUAUUCUGGAAUGGAGUCCCGGAUAGGAUAAUUUGCCUUUUUGUACGAAUUUCAGCAAAGGCCUUCCAAAUAACGAUAUUCGGAAGGUUCUUGCUGAACUUUGUACCAAAAAGCGAAUUAUCCUAUCUGGGACUCCGUUCCAAAAUAACUUUGGAGAGCUUCGUACCAUCAUGCACCUGUUACUUUCGCCUAAUGAUGAAGACAUGGUUUUGUUGAAUCCUUUGACACUAGGCAACCUCCCGACCCCUCGGCGAUCCUCGACCCCUUGACCCUCGACCGCUCCGCGAUCCAUGACCCUCUACCCUACCGCGGGCGUCGAUGCCCACGUCACUUGUGGGACAUAGAUGUAGUGUUCAACGCCGACCCCCUCCCGAUAGCUUCAACACGUGGGGGGGUCAAUAUUACCCCCUCCUAGCUUGAAGCGUUCUUGAGGCCACCCCAUAACCCUUGAAGCGUUGUCGAGGCCACCCCAAACCCUAGAGAAGCAGCAUCAAGGCCACUAAUAUGAUUCCUUAUUGUGCUUAGCUAGCUAGUUCUACGUUUGCCACUAAUAUAUCCAUAUCUGUCAUGUUUGAAUAAUAAUUGCCAUGUUGUAAAUAUUUGUAGAAACUAUGGACACCCCCCGAGACGAAGCACAAGAAGCGUUGUUGAGGGACAUAAUCGCACACGGAAGUGAUGUCGUCUCCUCGUUGAUGUUUCUCAACGACAACGAUGGUUUGGAAGGAGAGGGUGAAGAAGCAGCUGGCUAUGAUUUACAUGGCUCCGAUGACCCAAUGCCGGUGCAAGAAGGAGAGGGUGAAUAAGUAGACCGUGAGGACGGCUCCGGUGAUCACCAAACCGAGUCCGGCCAGGUAUAUAUAUUAGUUAAGCCUGUGCUGACUAGCUAAUUGAUGCAUUCAUUGUUUUGGUAUGUACACAUAUUAAUUAACUCUCGUCUUUGUUCUUUUUUCUAGCCCUCCGGAUCGAGCACAACUUCGGUAAAGAGACGAGGCCCGAAGAAAAAGUUUAGCUCGGAUGAAAAGUUUGAGAUCAUACAAAUCGCGCGCGACGGCCAACCGAUUGAACCCUACCGGACAAAGAAGGCAUUUGUUGCUCAGUGCGGGGUUCUGGUUAGGGACAAGAUCCCGAUCAGCAUCCAGCAAUGGUAUAAGCCUAAGAACGAAGACCCUAAGGUGUCUUAUGUCAAUGAGAUGCAGAAAAAGAAUCUUUGGACUGAGCUGAAGUCAAAUUUCACCCUAUCGCCGGAGGAUGAUCCGGAGAAGCCAGUUAUAGAGCCGUUAAUCAAGUCUUUUGCUCUGAGGAAGAUGGCAGACCUAUUCAGGAAUUGGAAGAAAGACCUCAAUAGGUAUGUCGAAAAAAAUGAGACACCAGAAUUCAUGGGCAAAUAUGAGAAGAUCAGAGAUGACUGGCCCGCAUUUGUGGCCCACAAGACAUCGGAAAAGAGUAAAAAGAUGUCGGCGACAAACAAGAGAAAUGCUGAGAAGAAGAAGCUUCACCAUUGCACGGGGUCAGGUGGCUGCCUCGUAGCCCGGCCUAAGUGGGCCAAGGCUGAGAGUGAUCUGCUUGAUAAAGGGAUCGAACCAGAGACAAUGAAGUGGCCAGAACGUUGCUGGACUUGGUUCUUUGGGGCCGGCGGAUCCUUGGACCCUAUAACAGGGAAGUGCAUUUGGACGGACGAACAAUUGGACAUACCAGUCAAGAGGCUUCAGCAAUAUAUCGAAGCAGCGCAGCAAGGGACGUUCGUUCCAGACAGGGAGAAGGACGAGCUCACAAUGGCCCUCGGCAAUCCUGAGCACCAUGGACGGACACGAGGCACGCCAGGCUCCGUUUCGUGGAAGGCUGGAUUUCCGGACGCAGGGGGUUACAAAACCCAGGAGAGGAGGAAGAAACUGGAGCAGAGCCAACUGCAGGCGCUGCACGAAAGGGUAAUGGGGCUAGAGGAACGAGAAGCAGAUCACAGCAAACGACCUGCCGAAGCUUCCCCCGAAGCUACCCCGCCAUCUCAGCGGAGAAGCAGCAUGGCUUCCACCGAGCUGCUUCAGCCAGAGCAUGCCUUGACGGCUCCUGCCAGCUAUCCCGUGGAUGCUAUCACGGAUGCUGAAAAUUGCCACCUUAUGGCGCAAUGGAGCAAUUUGAAGGUCAAGGCGGCUGUUGGCUCUGUUUAUCCUACUAAACCCGACUCAACUUUUCACUGCCGGCCGAUUCCAGAAGGAUAUGCUAAGGUGAUGGUCGAUGAAAUAACGGAGGGAUUUGAGGACCUCCGGCUUGACCACCCUACCGGUGAAGGGGAGUAUCGGCUGGGUUCUGCUCUGAAGACUCCAUGCCUAUGGCGGAAGGAUCUCAUCAACCUUCCGAACUGGACGCCUCCGCCUCCUCCUCCUCCUCCGGCGAGUCAGGGCACUCUGCCUCCUCCACCGCCUCCUCCUCCGGCGAGUGACGAUCAGGGCACUCGGCCAGCUCCUUCUCCGACGCGUGGCGGCACUCCGCCUCCUUCUCCACCUGCGCCGGCGCGCCCGAGCAGCCAGCCUCCUCCUUCUCCGCCUCGUCAGCAAGGGCGGAAGAGACCCGCCACCGCUCCGGCUGCUCCGGCGCGUCACAGUCCUUCUCCUCCGCCUCGUAAGCAAGGAAAGAAGACAUCCGCUCCGUCUACUCUGCCGGCGUCUAGCAGUACAGCCAAAGGCGGGAGGAGAUACAGAUUCGGUCCUUCUCUGAAGACUCCAGAGAAGUUACCGUACGAGAGGAGCGAGGAGGAAAACGCGAAGAUCGCGCAGACCGAAGUGGAUGACUGGUUUGAAGGGUUGAAAGCAAAGAGACAUCCACCUCAGGAGGAGAAGGUAGAUCCGGUGAAAGCGAAGCGCACUCUGGCUGCCCUGACAAAACCACCCAAGUCUCCGCCGAAAGGCAACUAUGAGCGCAUUAUUGGAAAGGCAUUUGCCGAAGCGGAGAGGUCGGGAAGUACUAAAAGUGAUCAAAGGAUGAAAGAACGACGAGCUGGGAAACAAAUUGCCCAGCUCGGCGAACAAGCGAAGCAAUCGUGCCCCCCGCUCAAGGUGCCUGCUAGCGACAUCGUCGAUCCGAGGAUGGUGCCCGGUUAUGGCAAUCCUGCAGAUUACCUGCCCGACGAUGUACAUUAUGAUAUCUUGGAGGUGCAGAUACAAAGAUACGAGUACGGGAAGCCUCUCGUCAAAGAUGAAAGUUCUCUAUCAACGAUGAUGCGAAGAUUGCAUGAUUGGUACAUGAAAACCUGCAAAGAGUCUGAGGGGAGGAGUACUUUGUAUGUGAGAGUUAAAAAGGAGCAUGACCUCCUUGGAAUUGAACUGUUGUCUAUUCCAUUUGAGGAGUUCUAUCAGUUUUUCAAUCAAUUGGCCAUCGAUAAAGCAACGGUCACCUCCUACUGUCUGUAAGUAGUACUACUUCUGUCAUUAAGUCUCUCUAUAUAACUCAGCCCUUUCAUUGCAUGUAUUUAUAAUUAUCCUCACUAUAUUAUGCAGAUUGAAGAUCGCCGAAUUGAAGAAAAGACAAGUGGGAGAUAUUGGGUUCAUUAACACGUAUCUCAUAGAUGCAACUGAGGUUCAAUAUCGUGCCCAAGAAACCGAGGCCAACUUGCUACGAUCGUUGGAAAUAAAUGAACACAAAGAUAUAAUACUCUUUCCUUACAACUUCAAGUGAGUGUUACUGUCUUGUGGCAUAUUCGGUUUCCUUAUUAGUCCAUGUUAUAGUAAUGUAAUAUUGAUGAGUUAUGCAUGUGUGCGCAGCUACCACUAUAUUCUCCUAGAGAUUAAGCUUGAGAAGGGAGUAGUAAUUGUCUUAGACUCCAAGCGAAAAGAUCCCAAGGAGUAUGCGGACAUGACUGAAAUGCUCGAGAAGUAAGUUAAAUCGAUCAUUAUCCACCAUAUCAGCAACUUUGUUCAUUUCUGAUAUCAAGUAAUUGUUUUCUUUGUAUGGCAGGGCUUGGAGAAAAUUCACCAAAAAAGCUCCGGGACUACCGAAGAAGCUGCAAUUUAGGCACCCGAAAGUAAGUACUAUAUAGUAGCAUAUUCCAGGCAUCUCCUAGUGAUUCAAGCGCUAGUUUCAUCAAUACCAUUUAGUAUGCUUGCUAAUUAUCAGUUUGAUUGACCUCUAUUUCUUGUAAAGUGGUUGUGGCAGGAACAAGGGAAUGAUUUCUGUGGAUACUACAUUUGCGAGUCCAUCCGCCACACGACCUGUGAGCGGGGCUACUCCGACAAACAAUAUGAAGUGCGUAAAUAACAAUAUUCACAAUUUUAUUUUAUUACCAUCAUUUGUGUUGAGUUUCAUUCAUUCAUAUAUAUAUAUAUGUAUUGACCCCCUUCUUAAAAUUAGAUGUUUCGGAUGCGGGAUGAACUCCUAGCACCAGAUCGCAUGCGAGCAAUUCAAGAGGAAUUGGCGGCAUUCUUUCUUGACCACGUGAUCGCUGAAGACGGAGAAUACUAUGUGGACCACGCGUCCGUAUUUUAGGAGAUUAUAUAUUUGUAAAAGAUAAUUAUUGUAUAUAUGUAGCCGGUAGUGUCGGAUAGAUAUACGAGAACUUGUUGUUCGACCAAUCUCUCGGAGAAGGAGAGGUGGUCGAUAUCACUUCUCUCUGUAUGCAUAUAUGUUCAUGACGAUCUUUUGUUUGCUUACUAGCUAACUAGCGUGUCUAGCUAGUCCUCUCUAUACGUAUGUAUGGUACGUAGCGUCGACCAAGCACGGACAAAAGAGAGGACACUUCUCUCUGUUAAUUAGCUAGCUAUAGCACAAUAUAUGAAACANNNNNNNNNNNNNNNNNNNNNNNNNNNNNNNNNNNNNNNNNNNNNNNNNNNNNNNNNNNNNNNNNNNNNNNNNNNNNNNNNNNNNNNNNNNNNNNNNNNNNNNNNNNNNNNNNNNNNNNNNNNNNNNNNNNNNNNNNNNNNNNNNNNNNNNNNNNNNNNNNNNNNNNNNNNNNNNNNNNNNNNNNNNNNNNNNNNNNNNNNNNNNNNNNNNNNNNNNNNNNNNNNNNNNNNNNNNNNNNNNNNNNNNNNNNNNNNNNNNNNNNNNNNNNNNNNNNNNNNNNNNNNNNNNNNNNNNNNNNNNNNNNNNNNNNNNNNNNNNNNNNAAAACCCCCAGCCACAGAAAUGCUAACGCGUGAAUGCCUAUUGAUCCCGGUUGGUGCCACCAACCGGGACCAAAGGCCCUCCUGCCUGGGCUCAGCGGACAGGCCACGUGGAGGCCCAUCUGUCCCGGUUCUGGACUGAACCAGGACUAAAGGGUCAGGGCAUUAGUACCGACCCUUUAGUCCCGGUUCAUGAACCGGGACUAAAGGCCCUCACCAACCGGGACUGUAGGCCCUUUUUCUACUAGUGGGGAUAAAAUGAGUGAACCUAUAUUUUAAAACAUGUCUAUGUACAUCUGUAUGUGGUAGUUCAGUUGAAAUCUCUUAAAAGACAAAUAUUUAGGAAUAGAGGGAGCAGAAGAUAACAACCCAGAUAAUUAAUAAAAAUAAGAUGAAAACCAAGCAUCUAACGUUCAUGUCCCUACUAUUAGAAGAAGCAUACCAAGGAGACGCAAAGGCCUACAAAGCGGAACCAAAACAAAACUGCAAGGCAGAGCCCAAAACUAAAAGCUAGGCUAACAACUCGAAAUAGGCUUUCGCCCCGCUAUAUAGAUAUAGCAACCAUCCGAUACAACAUUCCGAUCAACGCUGGGGCCAACAGCACAAGCACACCCAAAAGAAAAUACAAGAGAAAAUAAGAGAAAAAAUGCCAACAACGCCGGAUCAACGAAAGCUAUGGCACCCCGCGACCGCUGCGCCCACCGAAGAUAACCACCACACUCCAAAGCCACCGAGUUGCCGUGUACCAAGCACCACCUUCAAGAAGGAAUGCGACAAUGUCGACGCUGCUGUCCGGAUGAAUCCUAGGAUUUCUCCCGGUACACGGAGGGCAGAGGGGGAGAGGGUCACCCGACGCCCUUCAAGAAGGAUGGUGGCGCCCGCAGGCGUCACCACGUUGGUGCCGGCAAGACCAGACAUGGAUUUCUCCCGACCCCUCGCGCCCGCCACCCAGGACCAACCUUCAGCUCCACCACACCCGUCGCCCACCAACAUGCACCAACACAAUCACGAGGACACCGCCGUUGUCUCACCACGACCAAUGAAGCGAGGACGGCCGGAUCCAAACGAGACACCCGUAGACAAGGACCGGCAGCACCGGAGCCACGAGGGAGGGAACAACCUCUACCGUCUUAGGCAGUAGCAGACCGGGCAUAGCAGCAGAGGCAUACCAGACCAAAUGUCCGGUCGGGCCCAGAACGGGCCCAUGAAGCUCCGUCACCAUGCUGCAGCAGUCGCGGCACAACAACCGCCGUCCCUGUCACGAGGAGCUCGCCAGAACCACCAGAGAACAACCCACCGUGGCCCCCCAGCAGGUCCACCCCGACCCAGAUCGGGCCCGUAGGGCCUAGAUCUGGGCCAGCCGGGCGCCGCCGGUCGCCACCAGCCAUGGGUCGUCACCUCUGCCAAGGGGCAACGCCUCCGCGUCGCCGCCGUACAGAUCCGCGCCGGAACGCCGCCGGCCGAAGGGCUCCGCCGCCAGGAUCGCUCGCCCGAGCCGGGGUCCAGCGAUGGGGGAAGAAGGGGGCUGCCACUGCCGGACUGCAGGGCGCCGUGCAGGCAACGCUCGGACGCGCCUGUCAACGGCAGCGGCGAGGGGGAAGGGGGGCGGCGACUCAUGUGGAGGGGGAGGAGUGGGGAACCGCCCCGGUCGCCACGCUCGGGGAGGGCGACGCUGGGGGCAUUCGACUGCUAUUCUGCCGUCUGGCUUUAUCUACUUGCCAAAGCUAGGCUAACAAGCACCGAUAGAAGCCAAAAUCAAACCGAAACUAAUCUAGGACGUGUUUGGUUGCCUGCAUAUGGCCCAGCCUGGCCCACACGGGAAGAACUUGGCCCGUUUGGUUGCCUGCGUUUACUGUGCGGCCUGCAUCGCACGAAACUUAAAGCACGUCCAGGCCGGGCCCUGGGGAAAAGCCCAAAUCGACAGUAGCUCACAAGCCUGGCUCGGGCGAGGCAGGGAAGGGUGACGCGCUUCUCUCCUCGUGCGAGCAGGGAGAUGGUGCGAGCUUGCCCGCAUCACCGAAAAACGGCGGGAGGAUUUUGCUCACCUCCCGCCGAGUCCACCCCUAUUUAGCCUCUCCCUCACCGCCCAACUCCCGCCACCAUUCUCCCUCUGAUCGAGCUUUCCCGCUGACGCGCAUCGGCACCGACAAGUAGGUAAGCGGCACAUCUUCAUCGGCCGACGGUCCAUGGCGUCGGGACUCCUUCACCGGUCGGCGUUGAUCUUCCACGACUGUCCCGCUCGUCCUCGAGCUGCAGCCAUGCCCUUUGUGAGUUCAAUCCCCCUUUCUCUCUGUUCCUUCUAGCUAGAUCUAAGCUGCAGCUAGGGUUUGAUCUAGAUGCAUGGUUGAUUAGUGGUCUGAUCUGUGAACUGAUAUGGUUGAUUGCUAUGUUGCGGUUGCAAUUAGUGGUAGGGCUAGAUGUUCAAGCAUGUGGUAGGCUAGAUUAGUAGUAGAGAGUUUGAAGUUGAACCUUGUUCUUGUGUUGAUUCGUGCUUAGAUCUGUGCUUUGUAGCUAUUGGUGGUCCAUUUGUAGCAUGUUGUUUAUUGUAGAUGUAUGUUCGUGCUCAUAGAUUGCCUGGUAUGCUUAGUAUGAUAUCAAUGAACCAUAUGUGCUUAGUAUGAUAGUGAUGAAGCAUGUGCUUGCUAUGAUAGUGAUGAACCAUGUACAUGUAUGCUCCUGCUUUCAUGGAUUGUCCGGUAUGUUAUGUGCUAUGCUUAUUGUCAAUGCGUGCUACGAUUGUAGGACAUGAACACGCAGACGCAAGAUCUUAGUCAGGCCCUUGUCCUGUCUGACAGCCAGUUUCCUCCAUCGUUCGUCGAGGACUCGCAUCCUAUGUCCGAGAUGGCACCUGAUUCAAAGGUGUUCGCGUCUGAUUCCCUCUAUGUGCCAGUAGUUCUCAUUGAGCCAACUCCUGCUGCUGCUGCUGCCGCUGCACCCAAGGUAGCAGCAGCAGAGGCAAAGAAGGAUGGUAGGUCGAACAACAUGAAGUGGCAGCUGUUCAUGUCCAUGUUCGUGCUGAACAAGAUGUGUGAGCUCAUCUCUAGUGGAGUUAGGACUGACAAGGGCUUCAAGGAGGCGCACUUGAACACCGUUGUGAAGCAGGUGUUCGAGUUUUGUGGGCAGGAGGUGUCUGCCACCCAGGUGUACAACCACCUAAGGAAGUGGAUAGGUCGAUGGAUCCAAGUUUCCAAGCUGAGAGACCUUAGCGGUGCCUCAUGGGAUGAGAAAACUUGCUCCAUAGUUCUGGAGGCAUAGCACUAUGCCGGCCAUGUCGCGGUUAGCUCACAACCCUCUUCCUUUUCAUACUGUCCACCAUUGCCUACUCCUAAUCGCAACUAACAACACUUGUGUUUCAUUCUUAGGACCACCCAAGGGACGCUGAGUUCCUCAACACACCCAUCCAGAACUAUAGCCAGAUGCAGCACAUCUUCUCCUUCGGGCUGGCAACUGGGAAGCAUGCCAUGGGCUCGGGGAAGCCUCUUGGUUCUCCCAUGCCAGACUUCCAUGGGACCCCGGACGUCGAGGUCCUUGAUGGCCCUGACAAGCCCUUCGUGAAGCCCUUCAAAAAGCCAUUUGACCCUGUCCAUGAUAGGAAGAGGAAGAGAGCAGGCCUGAUGGAGGAGGAGAUCAAUGUCUUUUGCAGCAUGACUGAGGCGGUGAAGGAGGUGGCAACAACCAUCAGGGAGUGCAAGCCCCUCGACUUCCAUCCUGACAUGUAUGACGCUGUCAUGACCCAAGGUGGCUUCAGUGACGAGGUUCUCAUGGCAGCUCUCAGCCACCUGCUUGACAACAAGGCCCGGGGUGUUGGGUUCGUUGCCAUGGCAGACGCUCACAGGGUGCUAUGGCUCAGGAGCUGGCUGGACAAGCACUACUACUAGAGUAGUGCUGCCUUUGAGCGUGCAUGAUCCCCGACGGCGAUGACGGUGGCGACAACGACGACGAUGACGAUGACGACGUACAUUUUGUGUAGCUAGGGCUGAAAAAUAAUUUGAUGGUAUGUAUAUUUUGGUGAGGUGGUAGAUACUAACCCCUCACGCUGAUGGUGAACUUGAGGUGGUAGGAUGACACCCUCUUUUGGAUGUGGUGGUAGGUUAACACCAAGAUAGUGCUAGGUUGAACUUGCUAUGCCGUAUGAUCAUGCGUGCUUUACUUCUCUUCUGCUCCAUUGUUGUUUGUGUGCUACUUUGCUUGCUACUUGUGUGCUCCAUUGAUUUGCUGCUUCAACUCUUGCUCUUGUGAAUUGCUAGGUCAAGUGGUAUGCCGUGUUCAUCGGUAAGGCUCCAGGGGUUUAUAGUUCAUGGGAAGAAGUAAAUGCACAAGUGGCACCGUAUAGCAACAGCAGCCAUAGAGGGUUCAAGACUAGGCAGGCGGCAGAACAAGCUUACUCCGACUGGGUGCGAAAGCACGGAGGCAGCAGUGUUGACUGGCAAGAUUGGAGGUGUCAAGAUGGAUUGUCAGUUGUAUUGUGGCAUUGGUGUGCUAGGUGUGAUCAUUGUGGGUAAGCUCACCAACAAAGGUACAAGAUAAACACAACAUAUACGCCGUAUGCAACCAAACGCGGUGUUCAUGUGCCGCUUGGGUCAAUGCAGGCAACCAAACAAAGUGCACUUGCGUAUUACCUAAUGCAAGAACACUAGAUGCAGGCAACUAAACAACUUGCAGAUGGCGUAUUAGGGCUGUUUUAUCUCAACCAGACUGGGUUGGGAAGUAUAUAGGAACUGUUCACAACGGCAACCAAACACGCCCCUAAGCUACAUACACUGCAGCGUAGCUAGCAGAUCCGGGGUGAAAUAGAGUGCUACUGCUGCUGCAUCGUGGAGUUAGGUUCAGUUGAUCCCAACUCAAAUCUGCCAAAUUCAACAGUGAGUGGAGCGACCUCAUGCAACAGAUUCGCUGGCUUUGCCCAUGCGUGGUGCGCAAGAGCACCGGCCGUUGACAACCUAGCAAAUGUAUGUUCAGUUUGCUCACCCCCAGUAUCCAUAUCUGAUAGGAGCAUCUCACUAGCUACAGUCACAUGUUUAGCAACCGUUCGGCGUCAGAAGCAUAAUUCUUCUAUUAUUGGGAGGCUGGGUCUGGCGCAUGGGCUGUACAUGCAUAUUUUAUUGCUAUAGUUAAGAUCCCUUGAUGAUAACCCUAGAAUAGUAUCAACCGUAUUGCACAACAAAUAGAGAAAUUCCUGACACCCUUGUUUCCUGAUUUAUGGUCUGUCACAUACUAAGUGUGUCAGCACUCAGAUCAAUUAGUACUAGCCAGCUUCUUCGAAAGGCAUCUCUCUAAAAAGAGAAGCUUCAUCGAAACAUAACUACUAGCUGAUCUGAAUAUAUGUAUUUUGGCAUACUACCAUCGAGGCCAAACUGACCUAGGCUUUUUGUGUAUGCCAUCGCUUAUGCCUUUUAAACAUAAUAAGGAGGUUAAAAAACAGACAAGGGCAUCUGAAAAAGUGUUGAACUGUCAACCUCUGUAGAUUUUUGCAAAAAAUAAAUGGCGCACCUUUUUCAAAUGAGGCUGAGUGUUCAGUAGCGCUAUGUCGCGAGUAGGGCCAGAGUUGCGCUUGUAGAUUUUUGGAACCUUGGUGUAUUGGAGGACCUUAUUUUAAAUACUUUGAAAAUCACAUUUAAGAUUUCAAAAAAUUCUGAAAAAAAUUCUAUGUGAUCAUAUGGAUGUAUAUUACACAUGUGUAAAGUUUGGUGAUGAAAUAAGUAAAUAUGUGCCCUUUUUUGUUUAACUAUUGCAUUAUUCAACUCUUCAAAUGGAUUUUCUACUAGUAACAUGGUUCAGCUUCCCGUUAUGGACAAUAUAUAUUCCUCUAUUGGAAGGUUGUUGGAUACGAGAGUAUUUUAUUCAAUCAUUUACAGUCUAGUUUGAAUUUCAACUAAAUCCUAUUAAUUCAUGAAGAAAACUUCUCUCAUCCAAACAUCUGGCAAUAAAAUUGAUCAUGAAAGAUUUUAAUACAAAUAGAAUGAUAUAGUUGUGGUGACUCAUAACCUUUUUUCCUUCACAGUUGAACCUUAAAAUACAUGUGCGCCAUGUUAAAAUAUGGGCAGAGUGAGUAAAUCACAACAUUUAAGAAAACAAAGUAUCAUAUAACUGAAAAUAAAAACAAAAAGUUGCUAGUUGUCCAACACUUUUGUCAUGCUAAGUUUCCGACAAUGAAGGAAAAACAUGGAGUGUUCGUAAACCUACCGCAACUGCAUGGCUAGCUAGAUGUUGCGAUGUUAUGAAGUAUGGUUGAAUCUUGUUCAGAUUAAACAUACACUUCAUUAAUCAUCAUUUUGCAAAUUAAUAUGAAACUUUUGGAUUAGAUGCGGAUACUCUAAUUAAAUGGAAUGUAGGUAGUGCGUCUGGACGAGGGACGAGCAUGAGUAGUGGUAUUGGUUGGAGUUAGAAGACAUUUUUUGGGCAUACGAAAAGGUGAUGAGAAGGUAUAAUGUAGGGCCGGGGUAUUUUUGGUGUACAAAUUAUCAUAAUUGUAUCAACAAAAGAUCUAAAAAAUUGCAAUAGCAUAUCCCCAAACUAACUUUUCUUUGUAGCAUUUCUCGGAAUCGAUUUCUGCGUUCUCUUGUUAGCCUUGCUCUAACAUACAACUUCAUUCUCUCUCCUUUUUAAUUACUGUGACAUCUUUACAUUUUUUUCUAUAAAACCAUUCUAGAACCAAGCAUUAUGAGCGCCCUAUACAAAAUUAAUAGUAUAAUUUUGGUAACACAUAACUCACUUUUGGGGUCAAAGUUGAACCUCAAAAUAUGUAUUCGCCAUGUAAAUAUGGGCAUAAUGAGUAACACACAUCAUUAAAUAUAACAACAUAUCAGUGGGGAUCCUCCCCCCUCCGAUGAUUGUUAAAAAUAUAUAUAGAGAAACUGAAUGAAGGGAAAAACCAGAAACAUGCCAGGUGCCAACCCCUUUUAUCAUGUUAAGUUUUCAAAAAAGAAGAAAACAUGGGAGUGGUCAUAAAACCGCCGCAACUCCAUGGCUAGCUAGACGUUGGGAUAUUAUGAAAUUUUGGUUGAAUCGGUACUUUGCAAAUUAACAUGAGACUUUUGUAUUAAUUGUGGAUUCUCUAAUUAUAUACUACUCCCUGUGUGCGAAAACAUAAGGUGUUUUUGCAGUUCAAUUUGAACUACAAAAACGCGUUAUAUUUUGGGACAGGGGGAAUAUAUUGUAGGCACUAUUCCGUGACUGGAGGGACUGGCACGAGUUGUGGUGUUAGGUGAAGCUAUGAAGGCCAUUUUUUGGCAUGUAGAAAGGUGAUUAGAAUUUAGAAGGCAUAAUGUGGGGGCAUUUUGGUGAACAAAUUAUCAUAAUACUAUCAUCAAAAGCUUUGAGAAUUUGUAAUACGAUUUCCCAAAACUUAUUUUUGGGAGUGGCAUUUCCCGCAUAAUUUUAAUUAUUUUACUUACCUUGCUCUACCUUUAUUUUCUCUUUUUUAAUUACUGUGACAUCUCAGCAUUUUUCCUAUAAAGCUAUGCUAAGAACCAAGCAUUGCGAGCACCCUAAUACGAAUUGAAUGUAUAAUUCUGAUAACACACAACACACGAUUUUGGGGUCAAAGUUGAACCUUUAAAUAGGUAUAUGCCAGUAAAGGGUAGAAUAAGUAAAUCACAACAUUUAAUGAAACAGUCAGGUGGAAAUCUUCUCCCACCCGGUGAUUGUUAAAAAAAGAAUAAAACGACAUAUCAGGUGGAAAUCCUCUCUCACAUGGUGAUUGUUAAAAAAAGAAUAAAACAACAUAUUUUGAAAUUGGAUGGGGGUGGGUGCAGGGGGUGCAUCGGAAACUUUCCUGGUAUUCAACACUUUUGUCAUGGAAAAUUUUUGACAAAGAAGAAAAACAUGGCGUAGUCAUAAACGCACCACAACAACAUGGCUAGCUAGAUGAUAUUCUGAAAAAUAUUGAAUUAUGGUCCAACAAAACAUUCAUAUCAUUAAUCAUCAUUUUGCGAAUUAAUAUGAGACUUUUGGAUUAGAUGAGUAUUCUCUAAUUAACUAUAAUGUUGGUAGUGUUCCACUAUUGGAGGAAGAAUGAGCACGAUUUUUAGUGUUGGGUGGAGCUGAGGAAGACAAGUUUUGAGUAUUUGAAAAGGUGAGAAGGCAUAAUGUGGGGGCAUUUUGGUGUACAAAUUAUCAUAACGAUAUCAGCAAAAGCUCUGAGAAUUUGCAAUGGCAUUUCUCCAAACCGACUUCUGGGAGUGGUGUUUCUUGGAAUCAAAAUUUUGCCAGAACAUUUAUCCAACUAACCCUUGUAGAAGUAUCAUUUAUGAGUUGUGCUCAAAAGAAAAGAAAAAUAUGCACGUGAUGCACCAAUUUUUUUUUUGAAUUAACAUUAGAAUAUCUAGCUUCUCAAAUGGGUGUGAUCCUCAAAUUAACUCUAUUCUAGGCGCCCCUUUAUACUCCCCAAUGGCAUCUCUACCCGAUUCCUCAAAAAGGAUUAACUCUUCAAAAUAUAUUCUAUUUUGAAGAGUUAACCGCACCUAACUGAAUUCCUAUCCGGCUAACUCUUCAAAAUUUCGACGAGUUAACUUUCAAAAACUUUCUUAGCCUCUCUUUUUUAGCGGCCGCACGCAAUUUUUAGCAGUGGUGGGUGGUCACUGAGGCGCCACAGCCAAGCCCGCCACUGCUAGUUUGUUCUAUAGUAGUGCCUUUUGAAUUAACAUAAGAAGAUCUAGCUUCUCAAAUGGAUGUGAUUCUCAAAUUAACUCUAUUCUAUGCACCCCUUUAUGCUCCCUAAGGGCAUCUCUAGUCGAUUCCUAAAAAAGGAUUAACUCUUGAAAAUAUUAACCGCACCUAACCGAACUCCUAUUCGGCUAACUCCUCAAAUUUUUGAGGAGUUAACUUUCAAAAACUUGCUAACCUUCUUAUUUUUUAGCAGUCACACACAAUUUUUAGCAAAAAAAAUUAUCCGCCACUGUUAACCUACUAGCAGUGGUGGGUGGUCUGUGAGGGGCGCCCUCCACAGCCAAGCCUGCCACUACUAGUUUGUUCUAUAGUAGUGCAUGCCUCUUCUUCUAUGCAUGGCAGCGGGUGUUGUGUGUCACUGUGUUGGCCUUGUAGUCAGCCACCACCAAAGGGUUCUUCAUUCCGGCUCCAGCUGCACGACCAUCAUCUCCUCCAAUGGCUCCAUCGCGGCAGUGGACGGCAAAACACUCAGGAACUGGGGUGGGAGGUGGCGGCGAUCGAAGAGAAGACAGUGGGAAAGGGCGGGCUUUCAUGUGGAAACAAUGUCUAAUUGUCCAAAUGCGCGGGCUCCAUCUCCCUUUUGGAUGGGUCCAGAGUGUAGAACACAUACGUCGGUCCGAGCGCCCGCAAACCUCCUCCGAGUCUGCUUCUGGUUUAUGGGAAUUCAAACGCCUGGAUGCGCCAGGACGUAUUUGGUGCCCGUUGUUAGAUGGAUUUUAAAAGCGUCUAAACUGCACGGUACAAACAUUGGAUGUUUUGGUGCACGGGGUUUAAUUUGCCCUAAUGGGUCAGAUGGUUAGAACUCUAAAGCCACUUUUUUUGAAAGAUCCAGCAAAUUGCUGGCUUCAAUUAGAUUUAGCAGAAAGCAGCGGAAGAAACAAGAUGAGGAGGAUCCAAAGAUCAAAGGAAAAAAGCAAAAGGCAGCCCUAUUAGCUGCAAAACAACACUACACUUACAAGACAGAACGUCAUCCGCCCACCGCAAGACAACGCAGCCCCGAAUCCGGCGGAGAAACUACGGAGAACAAAGCAAGGUUGGCAUCACAGGAGAUCGCCAAACGGACCACAUGUCGCUCGUCAUCGUACGCUACCGGAACCCCGCACCGCAGCUUCGACUUCACAGCAACAAGUAGCCGAGGUAAUCUCAUGGACACGCCGGAGAAGAGCCGACUACCAUGACCAAAGCAACGCCUCCGACAAUGCUCAUCACCGUCAUCGUUGCCACAGAAGUCAAACCUCCCUCAUCGCCGGACACGACCAAGCAGCACGAACAACAUCCUCCAUCUAUCACUGGUCCCCCUAGCCGGUAAGGAGCUCCUGAAACGAUGCCCCAAGAGGCGCGACACACAUCGCCUUCAUCGUCCGAUCCCAUGGGAUCAAGGGUUUCCCCCGAGAAGCCUUGCGUGGUGGAGCGAGCAGGAAUGCCUCAGCGAUGCCUUCAAGAAGGAAGCGGCGCCCGCAGGCGUUGCCGUCGCCUGCCCCAGCCCAAAGACUGGCAGCAAGGUCUUCACCCGACGUUGCACCUCCAACCACCAACCCGAGCCAGGCCACCACCGCAGACACACGCCUGAUGGCCGCCGGCCCCACGCGCCCAACGUCCGCCGCAGCCACCAGAUCUAGAUGUCGGGCCCGGGUCUCCAUCGCUGUCGCUGGUCCGCGCCGGAUAACCGCCAGCCCCUUGCGUCUGACGGUCAUCGCAGCCACCUCGCAGAACAGGACGCCGGGGCCCGAUCUGCCUCACACCGCCCUCUGGAACCCAUCGAGCCGACGACCGGCAACGCGCAUGAAGAUCCCAUGCGCCGUCGAACAGCUUGCUCCCGCCUGACCCCUCUCGUCCUUCGCAGCGCUGACCAUGACCCCGCCUCGCGGUAGGCACUCUGCAGAUCCAGCUGGGGCUCGCCCGGCGCAGCGCUCUCACGUCCCGCGCGACCGGCGCACGCCCAGCCCACGUCCCGCGCGGCCACCGCGCACCCAGCCCACAGCUUAACGCAUCACCACCAACCUCACCUCGCCGUCCACCCAGCACCAGAGCAGAGGAGCUCCACCUUCGCAGCCCACCGCCGGAUCCCACGCCGUACGCCAGAUCCGCGCCCUACGCGCCUGAGGGAGUCCUGGACUAAGGGGUCCUUGGAUAGCCGGACUAUAUACUUUGGUCGAACUGUUGGACUAUGAAGAUACAAGAUAGAAGACUUCGUCCCAUGUCCGGAUGGGACUCUCCUUUGCGUGGAAGACAAGCUUGGCGAUACGGAUAUGUAUAUUCCUUUUUGUGUAACCGACUUUGUGUAACCCUAGCCCCCUCCGGUGUCUUUAUAAACCGGAGGGUUUAGUCCGUAGGACAACAAUCAUAACUUCAUAGGCUAGCUUCUAGGGUUUAGCUAUUACGAUCUCGUGGUAGAUCAACUCUUGUAGUACUCAUAUUCAUCAAGAUCAAUCAAGAAAGAAGUAGGGUAUUAGCUCCAUAGAGAGGGCCCGAACCUGGGUAAACAUUGUGUCCCCCGCCUCCUGUUACCAUUAGCCUUAGACGCACAGUUCGGGACCCCCUACCCGAGAUCCGCCGGUUUUGACACCGACAGCGCCCACGCCUACACGCACCCGCGCCUCCGUGCGCCGCCUCGCCGGCCAGCCGCGCCGCCCCGAGCGCGUGCAGCCGCUCGAGCUCCCGUCGAGACAACCAGCCCGCGCUAGCCACCUAUGGACGGGAGGAGGAAAAGGGGCCCCACCGCCGCCGAGCCGCGCGGGCUUUGCCCGGCGACCGCUACCGGCGGCGUCGAGGGGAGGAGAGGGCGGUGGGUGGGCUGCUGGCGGCGGCCAGGGUUUGCUCCCGAGCCGCCCGCGGGGCGACGCGAGAGCGCCUUCCAAUUCUAAAAUUACUCUCUCUUUUUGCUGCUCUCUGAAGCCACAUAGGAUACUGCAUGUAGUUGUUUUACUAUUCCUUGACUCCUUAUCUUAAUAGAAAAGACAUAUGCAACACUCUUGCAUGUUCUUGAAAAAAAAAUACUGCAUGUAGCAGUGUCCCAUUCACUUAGGAGAGCAGCAGUCUGAUGUACUCUGUUAAUUUUGUGUAAUUAGAUCGAUGCAUCGGGCUUUGAUGAUAUCUCAGGUUGCUACAUGUAUAUGUGAUGUGAUCUUCUUUUUUACUGUACUAUUGGGUGUCUUUUUGAGGGAGAUACCUAGCGUCUUCAAUGCGUUGUACUUAUAGUAAACAGGGAAAAUACUAUUGGUCAUCCUUAUCUGGUACAGGUUUAUGCCAUGUGCCCUUUUCUGUUAAAUUAUUAUUGCAUUAUUCCACUCUUCAAACUGCCAGUGACAUGGUUCAGCUUCGUAGACAAUAGACAUUCCCCUACAACCAUUUUGUUGGAUAGGAUAGUAUUUCUGUAGUUAGAAUUUGAACUAAAUCCUAUUAAUUCAACAGGAAAAUCCGGCCUCAUUCAAGGUUUAUAAUUUUAAAGAAAUUUCGAUAAUUUCACAUAUUUGUAAUCUUGAAAUUCCGGGAAUACAAACUAAUAUUGAAAUUUAAAUUAGGGAAGCAUUCAUCAAAUCUUAGUGAAUUUAAGAUACCAAAAUCCCAAAGAAUUUCCUAAAAUUGAGAUACUUCUGUGAGGUCCAAAAAUAUUCUGUUUCCGAAAUUUUAACCCUUUCCCUCAUCCAAAAAUCCGGCAACAAUAUUGAUGACCAUGCAAUAUUUGUAAAGCAUGACACUGGAUAAAUCAAAGGAAGAAGAAAAAUAUGUGUGUUUUUAAUGUAAUCAACCCUGGGAGCUACGAGAGUCUAAAAUUCCUAAAGUGUUUCAUAAACCCACCGGAACCACAUGGCUAGAUGCUGUGAUAUUCUGAAAAUAUGGUUGAAUCAUGUUCACACAAAAAGAAUGAUAUAAUCAAUCACCAUGUUGUGAACUUAUAUGAGAAUAUAUGUAGCUUUUCGAUUAGAUGUGAUUCUCUAAUUUAAAUCUAGUUUAAGCAACUUUCCACGGUCGGAGGAAGGGCGAGCGCAUGUGGUGUAGUUGGGAUCUCAAGAAUACAUUCUGUUUUUGCCAUGUGAAAAAAGGGAGAAGAAGGAAUAAUGUAGGGGCAUUUUGAUGUACCAAUUGUCAUUACGGUAUCAAGGAAAGCUCUGAGAUAUUUGAACGAGCAUUUAUGUGGAAUGACUUUAUUUAGUGACAAUUUUCAGAAUAAAGUUUUGCAGAGACUUCAUCCAGUUAACCCUUCUAAAAAGUAUUGCCGAAUUACAAGCUCAGAAGAAGAAAAAAUGUGUGUGCCAUUAAUCAUUUUCUGCAUUAAAACAGGAAUACCGAGCUUCUCCAAUGGAUGUGCUUCUCAAAUAAACUCUAUUUAGGUUAGCACCCAUUUGUACUCCUAAGUGCAUCUCAAGCAGAUCCCCUAUAAGUUAUAUUUAGAGCAUCUCCAACAGCCGCGCUGAAAAAUUAGUGCUUUUAGCGCGCGCUACCGCUCCGGGCGCUCCAGCAGAGCCACAAAAACUGCACGCGCAGCAUAUUUAGUUCAGUGCGCGGGCCGAAACACCAUCGUGCGCCGCUUAUUUGCUGCGCCCGCUCCCGCGCUGGACUCUCGAGCGCUCGCUUGCAACUCCACCUACCCAUCCAGCCGCUGGCGCCGCCGCCGCCCGCGCCACCCCAUUUCUUCCAGCGACCGUUCCGGUGCUUCGCCGGUCUCUCCUCGCGCGGUCGCGGCUUCCUCCGUGUCCCUCUAGUCACCGCCACCCGUCGCACGCGGCAGUCCUCCGACGAACAACGCCUGGCCGCCCACUGCCGCUCGGUACCCACAAGGUGUUCGACGAAACGCCCGCAAGGUAUGUAUUGCUUCCAACUUCACAUUUUUACAUGAAUUUGGUGCAUGUUGUUUGUAGUUUUUUAUAUCCUAGUUUUGAACAUUGUAGAUGAGUUCGUCAUAUGAUUCUUCUGAAGAAGAAUUUGAUAUGGAAGAGGAGGAGGAUCUUGCAAUGAUCCUAGCUAUGCACAUCAAUCAAAAACCGAAGCACGGUGGUUCGGUGAUGGGUCGGCACAAAAUUUGGAGGGAUAGGAUCGAUGCCCACAACGAAUUGAUGAGGCACUAUUUUGUGAAGAAUCCCACAUACCCCGAGUCGUACUUUCGUCGCCGGUUUAGGAUGAGCACCGAGUUGUUCAAGCGCAUUGCAGAGAAACUAGCGAGCCAUGACCGGUUUUUUCAGUAGAGGAGGAAUGCCGCCGGAGAGCUCGGGCAUAGCACCUUUCAGAAGGUGGCAGCCGCUUUGCGUAUGUUGGCAUACGGUAUCCCCGCUGAUCUAGUUGAUGAUCACUUGGACAUGGAUGAGAGCCAAGCCAUCAUGUGUGUCAAGCGCUUCGCAGUCGGAAUUGUGCAAGUGUUUGGCCGGAGUACUUGAGAUCUCCCAAUGUUGAAGACGCCGCAAGGUUAUUGGAGAUAAACAAAGCUCGCGGGUUCCUAGGUAUGCUUGGCUCAAUAGAUUGCAUGCAUUGGAGUUGGAAGAAUUGUCCAAAGGCAUGGCAUGAGCAAUUCCACGGCCAAAAAAGGGUUCCACUAUAAUCCUUAAAGGGGUGGCCGACCAAGAGACUUGGAUUUUGCAUGCUUUUUUGGAAUGCCUGGAUCUUUGAAUGACAUCAAUGUUGUCAACCGGUCACCACUAAUGAAUAAGAUUGCAAAUGAUGAACUGCCACUAGUGCAGUUUGUAGCUAAUGAACGUACAUACAACUAUGGCUACUAUCUUACGGAUGGCAUCUACCCAAAGUGGCAAACAUUUGUGAAGCCAUUAAAAAAACCGGAAGUUAAGAAAUAUCUUGAUUUCCACAAUGCUCAGGUGGCGGCUGGAAAAGAUGUGGAGAGAGCUUUUGAGAUUUUGCAAGCCCAAUUUGCUAUUGUGAGAGGAUCGGCUAGAUUUUGGGAUCAAAAGAUUCUUUGGUACAUAAUACACGCUUGUGUGAUCAUGCACAACAUGAUCAUCGAGAAUGAGCGUGCUUAAGAUGUAGACUACUCUCACUAUGAGCUCUUGGGACAUCCCAUGCGAGUGCGGCGGAGGGCUGAAAGGAUGGCCCGUUUUGUUGCCUCCUAUCAUGACAUUCGACGUCUGGCAGCGCAUGAUGAUCUUUAGAAGGAUCUCAUUGAGGAGUGGUAGGGUUGGAAUGGCCGCCAAAGAGCAUCAUGAUUUGUGCAUUUGAUGUUGUAUUGUUGAACUAUUUGUUGUAUUGAUGAAAGAUACUAUUUGUUUGAGUUGUAAUAAUAAAUGGAACUAUUUAUUGUUGAUUUAUUUUGUUUGUGUUUGAUCAUCUUGCUUGUGUUUGGAGCACACAUGUUGUUUGUGCGAGAGCACGUGCGCUGCAUUUUAGCGCGCCUCCUGGAAUUAUGCGUGCGCACUGCAUUUUACCAUGGCUGCUGGAGCCAGCGUUGCACGCCGCACAAAACCAGGCGAUCGACGUGCUGCAAACUAGUUUUUAGGGCGCCGCACAUUGGCAGCUGUUGGAGAUGCUAUUAGUGAUAGAAAUUUCGUUUGGCGAGUUUAGAUCCCUUGUAGCAUGUCCCCUAUACCACAUUUCCCUAAAAGAUUUAGAUGUUUCCCCUAAACCACCACCCCCUUCCCCACUUUUUGUCCAACAGAGGAAAGUUUCAGUAUAAACGAGGAGAUGCUCGCCUCCCGCAGUAAUGCCCGAACGGCCGGCGUGCCGCCUGAUUUGAUCGCCCCGAGUAUAAAUGUCGACGUCGCACCCCCAACUCAUGGUCCAAACCUGUCCUAACACAUUUCGAUAACCGCCAUUGUUGAUCGAGCGUCCACCGGCUCCGGUUCUCCGUCAAGCUCGAAUUCACCGCCACACUUAAGCUCAACUGCAUCUCGAGCUCCACACCGCCUUCCCGACCCAUACCACCGGUUUUCUUUCUCGUCUGUCGUAGUCUCAUCCAUCAUUGUCGGCGACGUCUUUUCUAAGAUAUGUCGCUGCCAUGGUGCAAGAGAAGAUCACCACGUACAAGAUGUUGACACUCGCGCGGAGCGCGGCACUUGCCACCAAGGAGUGUGCCUACCACGAGCGGCAUUGAGCACGCUUCGCCAUCGGUGAGCCCUUGAGCUCGCCGAACACGAGCUCUAAGGAAGAGGAGGUGGUAGACCUGGUUGUCGUAUUCGCUGCCACCGACUUCAAGGUGGUGGACAUAGUGACCAGGGCGGCGGCUGAUGAUGAUACAGACCUAGGAUAGGGUCAUGGGCCUGACCUAUAUGCCCUACCCAAGGUCACUACCCUAGAAGCAGAGAAGCUCAAGAGACAACAUGGAGUACCCAAUGAAGGUGUCGAGUGUUAUCCACUCGACCAGUCAACCACUCGGGUACCCCUCCUUCCCGAAGUCACACGACCAAUCAAUCACUCGACCAUACAAGAAAUCACUCGACCUACUGAAGACCAGGAGUCACUUAGAACAGCAACAGACAAGCAUUCACUCCGUAGUCUUUAAGGUCAUUUAAGGCACUUAAGGCUUGCGUUACCAGUAACGCCCCAUCUUUAUGUACAUUGAACCCUCUGUAACGGAGGAUGGCUGGGGUCCUGGCGCACUCUAUAUAAGCCAACCCCCUCCUCUGGGACAAGGGUUCACACACCCUAUUACACACACUCAUAUAAUCUAGUCGGCCUCCUCCGGGCACCGAGACAUAGGGAUUUUACCUCCUCUGAGAGGGGCCUGAACUCGUAAGCACUUGCGUACAAUCUUGUCGUAGCUAGGAUCUUUCCUCCUCAUUUGUACCCCCUAUACUUACUGUCAGAGUUAGUACCACGACAGUUGGCACCCACCAUGGGGCAAAGCGUCUUAGCGACUUCCGGCGAGAUUGCAUUUUCUUCGAUCUUCAUCAGCACGUCUUCCGGUGGUGGUUUGGUCAUGGGCCGCAAGUUCCAACUCGGCAUGCUCACUUUCAUUGCCGACGACUCUGCUUGGCUCCAGGAGGCCCCGCUUGAUGUCGAGGCUCUGCCGGCUCAUGGCUCGGCGCACUUCCGCGUGAGUUCCGGCGGCGUCCUCCUCAGGCAGCCAUCUUCACCAUACCAGUCGGUCAUCGCAUCGUUGACUCACUUGUUGGAAAUAUGCCCUAGAGGCAAUAAUAAAAGGAUUAUUAUUAUAUUUCCUUGUUCAUGAUAAUUGUCUAUUAUUCAUGCUAUAAUUGUGUUAUCCAGAAAUCGUAAUACAUGUGUGAAUACAUAGACCACAACAUGUCCCUAGUAAGCCUCUAGUUGACUAGCUCGUUGAUCAACAGAUAGUCAUGGUUUCCUGACUAUGGACAUUGGAUGUCAUUGAUAACUGGAUCACAUCAUUAGGAGAAUGAUGUGAUGGACAAGACCCAAUCCUAAGCAUAGCACAAGAUCGUGUAGUUCAUUUGCUAGAGCUUUUCCAAUGUCAAGUAUCUUUUCCUUAGACCAUGAGAUCGUGUAACUCCCGGAUAUCGUAGGAGUGCUUUGGGUGUACCAAACGUCACAACAUAACUGGGUGACUAUAAAGGUACACUACAGGUAUCCCUGAAAGUGUCUGUUGGGUUGACACGGAUCGAGACUGGGAUUUGUCACUCCGUAUGAAGGAGAGGUAUCUCUGGGCCCACUCGGUAAUGCAUCAUCAUAAUGAGCUCAAAGUGACCAAGUGUUUGGUCAUGGGAUCAUGCAUUACGGUACGAGUAAAGUGACUUGCCGGUAACGAGAUGUCAGGACCCCGACUCAAUGGCACAUCGAUCUAGCAUGUAACACCUCAUAUCACUUUGCGGCCUCACGCACGGUAUUCCCACGGGUGUCGCCUUACCUUGCCCGGGACCGUUUGCGCCUUUGGGCACACGUAUAUGAUAGUGUCGCUAGCAUCCAUAUGACAAGAAGCCCGGGCUGACGUGGCUAGUCGUAAACCCAAAGUGGCACAGACUUACAGGGACAGGCAUCCAUGACCCAGCAUCGAACGUGUCGGUCAUCAGCGAGUGAAUCCGGGAUAUAGCACUAGGCUAGCAGGACUCCGGUAAACCGGGCUGUAGCGGGCUAACAGGACUCCAGUAUUCAUCGCGUGACAUUUCCCCGAAGGGACAGACACAGGAACGAAGAAGGACACAUGCCGGCCAGCCUAAGUGUUCCGGAGCAGUAGCAAGCUACCAUGGCUCAGUGGAAGCACUAGGAGACAUUUCCCGGUAAGAGAGGCUACCAAGGAUAAACAACUAGAUAGUCAGGUCCCACACAUACCAAGCAUUUCAAUAACAUACACACAAUAUGCUCGAUAUGUGCAAAUACAACAUGGCAUCACAACAUGACUCUACAACUCAAGUAUUUAUUCAAUAGGCUCCGAGGAGCGAGAUAUUACAAACAUGGGUCUCUCGACCCAGCAUUCAGAGCAUACAAGUCAAAGCACAAGCGGAAGCUUAACAUGUCUGAGUACAGACAUCUACAAAUGAAAAAGGCUAAGAAGCCUGACUAUCUACUAGAUCCUGCCGAGGGCACAAGAUCAUAGCUGAGGUAACAAGCUAAACGUCAAAGUCCACGCAGAACUACUAGUGAGACUGAAGUCUCUCUGCAAAAAACAUAAAAUAGGCAAACGUGAGUACAAAUGUACCCAGCAAGACUUACAUCAGAACUAUCUACAUAUGCAUCAUUAUCAACAAAGGGAUGGUGGGGUUUAACUGUAGCAAGCCAGCUUUGACUCGGUGGCUAUCCUGAACUACGACUGCAAGUAACUCUUUUGAGGUGGCGCACACGAGUCCACAUAUUCACCAUAUCAAUACACCACUAUGGAUCCGCUCCCGUCUCCCUACGAGAAUGCCAUCCAUAGCACUCACGCUUAUCUUGCGCAUUUUAAAGUAUCCACUUUCACUUGUCUAUGAACUGUAUAGGCAACCCAGAAGUCCUUUACCGCGAACACGGCUAUUCGAAUAGAUGAUGUUAACCCUGCAGGGGUGUACUUCUUCAUACAUGUUUCCACCACUUAGCGUCUGCACAUGACAUGUGCUCGGCAGACUUCAAGCGAAAGCCGGCGUGGGUGUAGACCACGACCUACCUAAACACUCAAGUCUCUAGUCCAGGUUUAUCGCCUAUUCAGGUUCCAUCCGCAGGGAGUCCGGCCGAAGUUUCCACAUACGGCCCCGAACGAUGUGUGCAGGGUUCCCGAGACACCAAACAGGCGCCCAGUACACCGUGCCACGUGCCUACCGCAUCACAGCCCACCCCUCCGGUCAGCGCUGCCCACGGCCUCCAGCAUACUACAAACACCAGAAACUACUUGCAACUCCUGGACAGAGGACAAGGGUGAUUAAGAAGUCGAGCGGGGUCAUAUUUCAGGGCCCAAUGCAUGGUAGUAGCUAUUUCAUGGAUCACAAACACAGAACUUAGUUCCUAAGGACGGCUUCAAUGAGACAACCCACCAUGUACUCCUACAUGGCCUCUCACCGCUACCUUUACCAAAUCGUGUUCACACACUUAGCUCACACACAGUAGGACAUGUUCACACACCUCUGAUUCAUCCCCGAUGAAUCAGACCUGACUCAACUCUAAGCAGUAGCAGGCAUGCCAAACAAGCAUGAAUGAGUAGGCACAACAGGGCUCAAGCAACUCCUACUCAUGCUAGUGGGUUUCAUAUAUUUACUGUGGCAAUGACAGGUCAUGCAGAGGAUAAGGGGUUCAACUACCGCAGCAAGUAACAGAUGACUCGUUGUUGUCCUAAUGCAGUAAAAGAGAGCAGGAGCGAGAGAGUGGGAUUGUAUCAGAAUGAACAAGGGGGUUUUGCUUUCCUGGCACUUCUGAAGAUAGUAUAGUUCUUCAUUGGUGUCAUCGAACUCAUCGUCGGAACCACGUCUAUCGAGAGGGGACAAACACCAGCAACAAGGAAGAACACAAUCAAUGCAAUGCACGAUAUGAUGCAUGAUCAUGACAUGGCAAUAUGCUAUGGUUUGGGCUAGUGCAACUAGCAGCAGAUUAAAUGGAGUUGGUUUGAAUCAAAGAUUCAAAUUCAAACUCCACAUAUGACAUUUCAAAUGCCAUUAAUUCAAAUUGUCUUAUACAGUAGCCUUAGGUUGCUCAAACAUGCAUGAAGAUGCCAUAAAUAGAUUCUUUGGAUUUUUCUGAUAAUUUUUCAUAUAUAAUUUGUUUCAUUUGGAGUUACGGUUGAAUUUCUAUGAAUUUUAGAAGUUCAAAUCAUUUUCUGGAAUUUCUGAAUAAAAAUAAAUCCAGAAAAGGCAUUACUGCGUCACCCUGACAUCAUCAUGACGUCAGCAGGUCAACGGGGCAUGGUCCGGGUCAAACCUGACCAGUGGGACCCACUUGUCAGUGACCCCGUGAUAUUUAGUGUCACAGACAGGUGGGUCCGGUCAACGGCCACGUCAGCGAGGUCCACGCCGACGCGUGGGGCCACUGUGUUUAGAUUAAACUUAAACUAUUUUUGUUAGCUGGUUAGUUAGGCAGUGGGGCCUGCAUGUCAGCGUGCCAGGGGGUUAGUUAGUGGGUCGAUUAGCCGCUAAUGAUGUGUCCAUGUCAUCCAAAACGGCGGUUAGCCGCCGGUGCUAAUCGGAACACGGCGGGGUUGCCCGUCCGGCCAACUCCGGCGACAAGAGGUCGCGCGGCCAGGCGCGUUGGAAUGCCCGCAGCAGGGCACAUCCGAUGGUGGUGGUGGCUGGACCUGGAGUGGUCUGUGGCGGCGGCGGCGGCAAGUUGGGCGGCGGCCGGAGUUCAGGUGUGCACGGGGUUGCGGCUAUGGUGCGGGGCAGGCCUAACGGGCGGGUGAUUCGAGCUCCUGGAUACUCCCUGAGUGCAUGGACGUGCUCGGAGGCGAGCUUGCGCGGCCGUAGCCGCGGUGGCGGCAUGGCCGGCGGCGAGGAGCUAUCGGCUCCGGUGAAACUAGGGCUACGCGGUGCAAAAGAGGCGGGGAAGAGAGGGGUUCGGAGCAGGAGCUCACAGCGAUGCCGAAGAGGAGGUCAGCGAGCCCGGGGAGGUCCUGGCGGUGCCAAAUUGACCGGAGGCAAGCUCGGGUGCCCGAGGUUGAAGAUGAGGCAGAAACGUUGCUGCGGUGCUCCCGCGGUAGAACGGACUGGUGUAUACGAUGAAGGAGACGACGCUGGUCCUUCUGAAAGCUUUGGCAAGGUGAGGGGUGGACAGUGGCCACGGUGGUUCUCGUCUGCGACGGCGGGCGCGAGAGGGAGAGAUCCAGGGAAGAGGGUGAGAGCACGGGAGAGUGAGAGAGAGAGGUAGGAAGGUGCGUGGCGCCAUCUAGGCGCGUCGGGGAGAAGGAGGCAGCCAGGCAGGGAGGAGCUAGCCUCCUCAGCCGCGCGCGUGCGAGCACGCAGCUGCUCCUACUGGCAGGAGGAAGACGACAGGAGGGAAAGCGGUGGUGGACUGGGCCAGUUGGCUGGGCCGCCAGCUGGGCCGGCAAGGUGGGCUGCACGGGUGAGGCCAGGUAAGAUUCUCUCUCUCUCUUUGAUUUAUUGUUUAUGUUUUCUAUUAUUUUGUAGUCUUUAGGGCUUUAUUUAAAAUACUUAAACAGAUCCAAAAAUCAUGAAACUAAUCAUGGCUACUGUUUAGAAUAUAUCCAACAGUAAACAUUUUAGUUUAUGAUUAUUUGAGCAUUUAAAAUAUUUUAUAGUAUUUAAAUGCCCAAAUGAAAAUACCUUAUGAUUUAAUUCCGAGCCCAAAUAUGUCAUGGAAAAAUGUGCAACACCUCUGGUUAUUGUUUCCAACAUUAUCCAGAAAUGAUGAACAUUUUUAAAAGCCAUUUGGAAUCACUGAGAAAAUUUUAGUUGAACCUAGUGAAUUCUUUUGAUGCUUGGGUUUGGGCAAUCCCCAUUUCAAAUUCAUUGAAAUUUAAACAUGAUGCACACAUGAGGGGCUAGGCUAGGGCAAACCAGAUCUAGGGAUGUGACACGAGAUUGAACGAGGUAUUGGGAUACCGACGAUCGAAUCUCGGGCAAGUAACGUACCGAUUAACAAAGGGAAUUGUAUACGGGAUUACUUGAAUCCUCGACAUCAUGGUUCAUCCGAUGAGAUCAUCGAGGAGCAUGUGGGAGCCAACAUGGGUAUCCAGAUCCCGCUGUUGGUUAUUGACCGGAGAGUCGUCUCGGUCAUGUCUGCGUGUCUCCCGAACCCGUAGGGUCUACACACUUAAGGUUCGGUGACGCUAGGGUUGUAGAGAUAUUAGUAUGCAGUAACCCGAAAGUUGUUCGGAGUCCUGGAUGAGAUCCCGGACGUCACGAGGAGUUCUGGAGUGGUCCGGAGGUGAAGAAUUAUAUAUAGGAAGUCAGGUUUCGGCCAUCGGGAAAGUUUCUGGGGUCACCGGUAUUGUACCGGGACCACCGGAAGGGCCCCGGGGUCCACCGGGUGGGGCCACCUAUCCCGGAGGGCCCCAUGGGCUGAAGUGGGAGGGGAACCAGCCCCUGGUGGGCUGGUGCGCCCCCCCCCUUGGGCCCCCCUGCGCCUAGGGUUGGAAACCCUAGGGGUGGGGGCGCCUCCACCUGGCUUGGGGGGCAAGCCACUCCCUUGGCCGUCGCCCCCCCUUGGAGAUUGCAUUUCCUAGUUCCGGCGCCCCCCUAGGGGCCCUAUAUAAAGAGGGGGGAGGGAGGGCAGCCGCACCCAUGCUCUUGGCGCCUCCCUCUCCCUCUGCUACACCUCUCCCUCUCGUAGUGCUUGGCGAAGCCCUGCCGAGAUCGCUGCUGCAUCCACCACCACACCGUCGUGCUGCUGGAUCUCCAUCAACCUCUCCUUCCCCCUUGCUGGAUCAAGAAGGAGGAGACGUCUUCCCAACCAUACGUGUGUUGAACGCGGAGGUGUUGUCCAUUCAGCACUAGGAUCAUCGGUGAUUUGGAUCACGACGAGUACGACUCCCUCAACCCCGUUCUCUUGGACGCUUCCGCUCGCGAUCUACAAGGGUAUGUAGAUGCACUCCUCUCUCUCGUUGAUAGAUGAACUCAUAGAUAUAUCUUGGUGAAGCGUAGAAUUUUUUUAUUUUCUUCAACGUUCCCCAACAGUGGCAUCAUGAGCUAGGUCUAUGCGUAGUUCUCUUUGCACGAGUAGAACACAAUUUGUUGUGGGCGUAGAUGUUGUCAACUUUCUUGCCACUACUAGUCUUAUUUUGCUUCAGCAGUAUCAUGGGAUGAAGCGGCCCGGACCGACCUUACACGUACGCUUACAUGAGACAGGUUCCACCGACUGACAUGCACUAGUUGCAUAAGGUGGCUAGCGGGUGUCUGUCUCUCCCACUUUAGUUGGAGCGGAUUCGAUGAAAAGGGUCCUUAUGAAGGGUAAAUAGAAGUUGGCAUAUCACGUUGUGGCUUUCACGUAGGUAAGAAAACGUUCUUGCUAGAAUCCUAUUGCAGCCACGUAAAAACAUGCAACAACAAUUAGAGGACGUCUAACUUGUUUUUGCAGCAUGUGCCUUGUGAUGUGAUAUGGCCAAAAGUUGUGAUGAAUGAUAUAUAUGUGAUGUAUGAGAUCAUGUUCUUGUAAUAGGAAUCACGACUUGCAUGUCGGUGAGUAUGACAAUAGGCAGGAGCCAUAGGAGUUGUCUUAAUUAUUGUAUGACCUGCGUGUCAAUGGUUAAACGCCAUGUAAAUACUUUACUUUAUUGCUAAACCGUUAGCCAUAGUAGUAGAAGUAAUAGUUGGCGAGCAACUUCAUGGAGACACGAUGAUGGAGAUCAAGAUGAUGGAGAUCAUGGUGUCAUGUCGGUGACGAAGAUGAUCAUGGAGCCCCGAAGAUGGAGAUCAAAGGAGCUAUAUGAUAUUGGCCAUAUCAUGUCACCAUUUAAUUGCAUGUGAUGUUUAUCAUGUUUUUGCAUCUUAUUUGCUUAGAACGACGGUAGUGAAUAAGAUGAUCCCUCAUAAUAAUUUCAAGAAAGUGUUCCCCCUAAUUGUGCGCCGUUGCGAAAGUUCGUCGUUUCGAAGCACCAUGUGAUGAUCGGGUGUGAUAGAUUCUAACGUUCACAUACAACGGGUGUAAGACAGAUUUACACAUGCAAAACACUUAGGUUAACUUGACGAGCCUAGCAUGUACAGACAUGGCCUCGGAACACAGAGACCGAAAGGUCGAACAUGAGUCGUAUGGAAGAUACGAUCAACAUGGAGAUGUUCACCGAUGAUGACUAGUCCGUCUCACGUGAUGAUCGGACACGGCCUAGUCGACUCGGAUCAUGUAACACUUAGAUGACUAGAGGGGUGUCUAAUCUGAGUGGGAGUUCAUUAAAUAAUUUGAUUAGAUGAACUUAAUUAUCAUGAACCUAGUCUAAAAACCUUUGCAAAAAUGUCCUGUAGAUCAAAUGGCCAACGCUCAUGUCAACCUCAACUUCAACGCGUUCCUAGAGAAAACCAAGCUGAAAGAUGAUGACAGCAACUAUACGGACUGGGUCCGAAACCUGAGGAUCAUCCUCAUAGCUGCCAAGAAAGCAUAUGUCCUAGAAGGACCGCUAGGUGAAGCACCCAUCCCAGAGAACCAAGACGUUAUGAACGCUUGGCAGUCAUGUGCUGAUGAUUACUCCCUCGUUCAGUGCGGCAUGCGUUACAGCCUAGAACCGGGGCUCCAAAAGCGUUUUGAGCAACACAGAGCAUAUGAGAUGUUCGAGGAGCUGAAAAUGGUUUUCCAAGCUCAUGCCCGGGUCGAGAGAUAUGAAGUCUCCGACAAGUUCUAUAGUUGUAAGAUGGAGGAAAAUAGUUCUGUCAGUGAGCACAUACUCAAAAUUUCUAGGUUGCACAACCGCUUGUCCCAGUUGGACAUUAACCUCCCAGACGAGGCGGUCAUUGAUUGAAUCCUUCAGUCGCUCCCACCUAGCUACAAGAGCUUUGUGAUGAACUACAAUAUGCAGGGGAUGGUGAAAACUAUUCCUGAAGUAUUUUCAAUGCUGAAGUCAGCUGAGGUAGAAAUCAAAAAGGAACAUCAAGUGUUGAUGGUCAAUAAAACCACUAAGUUCAAGAAAGGCAAGGGUAAGAAGACCUUCAAGAAGGACGGCAAGGAAGUUGCCGUGCCCGGUAAGCCAGUUGCCAGGAAGAAGUCAAAGAAUGGACCCAAGCCUGAGACUGAGUACUUUUAUUGCAAAGGGAAGGGUCACUGGAAGCGGAACUGCCCGAAAUACUUAGCAGACAAGAAGGCCGGCAACACUAAAGGUAUAUGUGAUAUACAUGUAAUUGAUGUGUACCUUACCAGUGCUCGUAGUAGCUCCUGGGUAUUUGAUACCGGUGCGGUUGCUCAUAUUUGUAACUCAAAGCAGGAGCUGCGGAAUAAGCGGAGACUGGCGAAGGACGAGGUGACGAUGCGCGUCGGGAAUGGUUCCAAGGUCGAUGUGAUCGCCGUCAGCACGCUACCUCUACAUUUACCUACGGGAUUAGUUUUAAACCUCAAUAAUUGUUAUUUAGUGCCAGCUUUGAGCAUGAACAUUGUAUCUGGAUCUCGUUUAAUGCGAGAUGGCUACUCAUUUAAAUCCAAGAAUAAUGGUUGUUCUAUUUAUAUGAGAGAUAUGUUUUAUGGUCAUGCUCCGCUGGUCAAUGGUUUAUUCUUAAUGAAUCUCGAACAUAAUGUUACACAUAUUCAUAGUGUGAAUACCAAAAGAUGUAAGGUUGACAAGGAUAGUCCCACAUACUUGUGGCACUGCCGCCUUGGUCACAUUGGUGUCAAGCACAUGAAGAAGCUCCAUGCUGAUGGACUUUUAGAGUCUCUCGAUUAUGAAUCAUUUGACACAUGUGAACCAUGCCUCAUGGGCAAAAUGACCAAGACUCCAUUCUCCGGAACAAUGGAGCGAGCAACCAACUUAUUGGAAAUCAUACAUACUGAUGUGUGCGGUCCAAUGAGCGUUGAGGCUCGCGGAGGAUAUCAUUAUGUUCUCACUCUCACUGAUGACUUAAGUAGGUAUGGGUAUGUCUACUUGAUGAAACACAAGUCUGAGACCUUUGAAAAGUUCAAGGAAUUUCAGAAUGAGGUAGAGAAUCAACAUGACCGAAAAAUAAAGUUCUUAUGAUCAGAUCGUGGAGGAGAAUAUUUAAGUCACGAAUUUGGUACGCACUUAAGGAAAUGUGGAAUCGUUUCACAACUCACGCCGCCUGGAACACCUCAGCGUAACGGUGUGUCUGAACGUCGUAAUCGCACUCUAUUGGAAAUGGUGCGAUCUAUGAUGUCUCUUACCGAUUAACCGCUAUCAUUUUGGGGAUACGCUCUAGAGACAGCUAUAUUCACUUUAAAUAGGGCACCGUCUAAAUCCGUUAAGACGACACCGUAUGAAUUAUGGUUUGGGAAGAAACCUAAGCUGUCAUUUCUAAAAGUUUGGGGAUGCGAUGCUUAUGUCAACAAACUUCAACCUAAAAAGCUCGAAUCCAAGUCGGAAAAAUGCGUCUUCAUAGGAUACCCUAAGGAAACCAUUGGGUAUACCUUCUACCUUAGAUCCGAAGGCAAGAUCUUUGUUGCCAAGUAUGGAUCCUUUCUGGAGAAAGAGUUUCUCUCGAAAGGAGUAAGUGGGACGAAAGUAGGACUCAAUGAAGUACUACCUCUUGAACCGGAAAGUAGUGCAGCUUAGGAAAAUGUUCCUGUGGUGCCUACAUCGACUGGAGAGGAAAUUAAUGAUGAUAAUCAAGGUACUUUGGAUCAAGUUGCUACUGAACUUCGUAGGUCCACAAGGACACGUUCCACACCAGAGUGGUAUGGCAACCCUGUCCUGGAAAUCAUGUUGUUAGACAACGGUGAACCUUCGAACUAUGAAGAAGCGAUGGCGGGCCUAGAUUCCAACAAAUGGCUUGAAGCCAUGCAAUCCGAGAUAGAAUCCAUGUAUGAAAACAAAGUAUGGACUUUGACAGACUUGCCCGAUGAUCGGUGAGCGAUAGAAAAUAAAUGGAUCUUUAAGAAGAAGACGGACGCGGAUGGUAAUGUUACCAUCUAUAAAGCUCGACUUGUCGCUAAGGGUUAUCGGCAAGUUCAAGGGUUGACUACGAUGAGACUUUCUCUCCCGUAGCAAAGCUGAAGUCCGUCCGAAUCAUGUUAGAAAUUGCCGCAUACUAUGAUUAUGAGAUAUGGCAAAUGGACGUCAAAACGGCAUUCCUUAACGGCUAUCUUAAGGAAGAACUGCAUAUGAUGCAGCCGGAAGGUUUUGUCGAUCCCGAGAAUGCUAACAGGGUAUGCAAGCUCCAGCGAUCCAUUUAUGGGCUGGUGCAAGCAUCUCGGAGUUGGAACAUUUGCUUUGAUGAGAUGAUCAAAGCGUUUGGGUUUAUGCAGACUUAUGGAGAAGCCUGCGUUUACAAGAAAGUGAGUGGGAGCUCUGUAGCAUUUCUCAUAUUAUAUGUAGAUGACAUACUUUUGAUGGGAAAUGAUAUAGAACUUUUGGACAGCAUUAAGGCCUACUUGAAUAAGUGUUUUUCAAUGAAGGACCUUGGAGAAGCUGCUUACAUAUUAGGCAUCAAGAUCUAUAGGGAUAGAUCGAGACGCCUCAUAGGUCUUUCACAAAGCACAUACCUUGAUAAGAUAUUGAAGAAGUUCAAUAUGGAUCAGUCCAAGAAAGGGUUCUUGCCUGUAUUGCAAGGUGUGAGAUUGAGCUCGGCUCAAUGCCCGACCACGGCAGAAGAUAUAGAAGAGAUGAGUGUCAUCCCCUAUGCCUCAGCCAUAGGGUCUAUUAUGUAUGUCAUGCUAUGUACCAGACCUGAUGUAAGCCUUGCCGUAAGUUUGGUAGGAAAGUACCAAAGUAAUCCCGGCAAGGAACACUGGACAGUGGUCAAGAAUAUCCUGAAGUACCUGAAGAGGACUAAGGAUAUGUACCUGAAGAGGACUAAGGAUAUGUUUCUCGUUUUUGGAGGUGAUGAAGAGCUCGUCGUAAAGGGUUAUGUCGACGCUAGCUUCGACACAGAUCUGGAUGACUCUAAUCACAAACCGGAUACGUGUAUAUUUUGAAUGGAGGGGCAGUAAGCUGGUGCGGUUGCAAGCAGAGCGUUGUGGCAGGAUCUACAUGUGAAGCGGAGUACAUGGCAGCCUCGGAGGCAGCGCAUGAAGCAAUCUGGAUGAAGGAGUUCAUCACCGACCUAGGAGUCAUACCCAAUGCGUCGGGGUCGAUCACUCUCUUCUGUGACAACACUGGAGCUAUUGCCCUUGCUAAGGAGCCCAGGUUUCACAAGAAGACCAAGCACAUCAAGCGUCGCUUCAACUCCAUUCGUGAAAAUGUUCAAGAUGGAGACAUAGAUAUUUGCAAAGUGCACACGGAUCUGAAUGUCACAAAUCCGUUGACAAAACCUCUUCUGCGAGCAAAACAUGAUCAACACCAGAACUCUAUGGGUGUUCGAUUCAUCACAAUGUAACUAGAUUAUUGACUCUAGUGCAAGUGGGAGACUGUUGGAAAUAUGCCCUAGAGGCAAUAAUAAAAGGAUUAUUAUUAUAUUUCCUUGUUCAUGAUAAUUGUCUAUAAUUCAUGCUAUAAUUGUGUUAUCCGAAAAUCGUAAUAAAUGUGUGAAUACAUAGACCACAACAUGUCCCUAGUAAGCCUCUAGUUGACUAGCUCGUUGAUCAACAGAUAGUCAUGGUUUCCUGACUAGGGACAUUGGAUGUCAUUGAUAAUGGGAUCACAUCAUUAGGAGAAUGAUGUGAUGGACAAGACCCAAUCCUAAGCAUAGCACAAGAUCGUGUAGUUCGUUUGCUAGAGCUUUUCCAAUGUCAAGUAUCUUUUCCUUAGACCAUGAGAUCGUGUAACUCCCGGAUACCGUAGGAGUGCUUUGGGUGUACCAAACGUCACAAUGUAACUGGGUGACUAUAAAGGUACACUACAGGUAUCCCCGAAAGUGUCUGUUGGGUUGACACGGAUCGAGACUGGGAUUUGUCACUCCAUAUGAUGGAGAGGUAUCUCUGGGCCCACUCGGUAAUGCAUCAUCAUAAUGAGCUCAAAGUGACCAAGUGUUCGGUCACGGGAUCAUGCAUUACGGUACGAGUAAAGUGACUUGCCGGCAACGAGAUUGAACGAGGUAUUGGGAUACUGACGAUCGAAUCUCGGGCAAGUAACGUACCGAUUGAUAAAGGGAAUUGUAUAUGGGGUUACUUGAAUCCUCGACAUCAUGGUUCAUCCGAUGAGAUCGUCGAGGAGCAUGUGGGAGCCAACAUGGGUAUCCAGAUCCCGCUGUUGGUUAUUGACCGGAGAGUCGUCUCGGUCAUGUCUGUGUGUCUCCCGAACCCGUAGGGUCUACACACUUAAGGUUCGGUGACGCUAGGGUUGUAGAGAUAUUAGUAUGCAGUAACCCGAAAGUUAUUCGGAGUCCCGAAUGAGAUCCCGAACAUCAUGAGGAGGUCCGGAAUGGUCCGGAGGUGAAGAAUUAUAUAUAGGAAGUCAGGUUUCGGCCAUCGGGAAAGUUUCGGGAGUCACCGGUAUUGUACCGGGACCACCGGAAGGGUCCCGGAGUCCACCGGGUGGGGCCACCUAUCCCGGAGGUCCCCAUGGGCUAAAGUGGGAGGGGAACCAGCCCCUGGUGGGCUGGUGCGCCCCCCCUUUGGCCCCCCUACGCCUAGGGUUGGAAACCCUAGGGGUGGGGGCGCCUCCACCUGGCUUGGGGGGCAAGCCACCCCCUUGGCCGCCCCCCCCCUUGGAGAUUGCAUCUCCUAGGGCCGGCUCCCCCCUAGGGGCCCUAUAUAAAGAGGGGGGAGGGCAGCCGCACCCAUGCUCUUGGCGCCUCCUUCUCCCUCUGCUACACCUCUCCCUCUCGUAGUGCUUGGUGAAGCCCUGCCGAGAUCGUUGCUGCAUCCACCACCACGCCGUCGUGGUGCUGGAUCUCCAUCAACCUCUCCUUCCCCCUUGUUGGAUCAAGAAGGAGGAGACAUCUUCCCAAUCGUACGUGUGUUGAAUGCGGAGGUGAUGUCCGUUCAGCACUAGGAUCAUCGGUGAUUUGGAUCACGACGAGUACGACUCCCUCAACCCCGUUCUCUUAAACGCUUCCCCUCGCGAUCUACAAGGGUAUGUAGAUUCACUCCUCUCUCUCAUUGCUAUAUGAACUCAUAGAUUGAUCUUGGUGAAGCGUAGAAAUUUUUUAUUUUCUGCAACGUUCCCCAACAUCACUUUGCUGGACGCCGCCGCAAGCGGUCUGGGCAUUCACAACUACAGCGAUUGGUGAGACACGUGAUGGCUCAUCAGGCCUUCACCCCCCAAGUCGCGGCGAUUAGGCCCAACAUGUAUUCUCGCAGAUCGGUCGACCCGUCGACUGAUUUUGUAGAUACCUUUUUUGAGAGCGGGAGUUGUGACCCCGCGGUGGAGGUCCUCUUGGUCGACUCCCAUCACGGUCCACCUGGCUGCCAUCGUAGCGGCGACGGCGGUAGAAGCGCUGGUCUAUCACUCGACCAUGAAGAGUACCAACCCCAACCUCUUAACUCGCAGAAGAGGGAAGAGCUGCACCGCCACAACGCGGAGGUUCUCCAGACCCCCAUCAUAGGGGAAACAGCCGAGGCCCGGGCCUUGGAGGUAGUGCGCCUGGCCACUCUGGCUGAGCGCACUCGUCUGGGAAAUCUUCAACAUUCUCUCGACAAGCGUGCCCAUCGACUGAUUCCCGAGUCCAGUCGGCGUCUACGAUAGUUGUUUCCACCGGAAACUCAGGUAUUCGAUACACCGAUUCAAAAUUUGGCAGCCGCUACAAGUAUUGCAGAGUCUAUUCAGCCGUCUCAUUCAGAGGCUGGGAGAGGCUUGGAACAGAUCAGAACGCUGCUCCGAGCAGCGGGAGACUAGAACUACGCUGUGUCCCAGUCGCGGAACAGAAUUCAUAGCAGAUUAGUGAGAGCAGAUACCGUUCAGUCGGCUCACCGUCCUAGGUCUCCUUUGCAACAUGGAGGCCGUGAUCACCGCCAAGGUCGGUACCUAGGAAGAGCUCAUGGCGAAUACGAUCGAGAGUAUGCCCGUGACAACUACCGUCGAGCGCCUUCACCCCUUCCAAGGGAUGGGUCGUACGCGCCCCGGCGCAAUGACGAUAGUCGUCCACAUGGGAACGACCGUAGAGUUCCAGUCGACCCAGAGAGCCCGGUUUCAAUGCAAGGUCUUUCCUUGUGCAGGGUUUGGUCGACUGGAACAGAGCAUACAUAGAAGGCUUGGAGCGGGACCAACCCAGUGGAAGCAGGGUCCAUGUUUUCGGACUAGAGUGUUUUGAGAGAGACAUCAGAGUUGCCAAGAUCCCUCAUAACUUCAUACUGGCAACUGGCGUCAGCAAGUUCACAGGGGAGUCGAAGCCCGACACUUGGCUUGAAGAUUACCGAGUGGUUGUGCACAUUGGUGGUGGUAGCGAUGAGGUAGCCAUAAAGCACCUCCCUCUGAUGCUUGAAGGUUCCGCCAGGGCUUGGUUGACUCAGCUGGCCCCUGGGAGCAUUUUGAGUUGGGAUGAGUUAGCCCGAGUGUUUACCGGAACAUUUGAGGGCACGUGCAAGAGGCCUGCUGGUCUACCGGAGCUGCAACAUUGCAUGCAGAAACCGAAUGAAACCCUGAGGGACUAUAUCCAGAGAUGGAUCACUCUGCACCACACAGUAGAGAAUGUGUCACAUCACCAAGCAGUCUAUGCCUUCAAGGAGGGCGUUCGCUAUAGAGAGCUCAAUCUGAAAUUCGGUCGGACUGGAGAUAUGUCUUUGACUCGGAUGAUGGAGAUUGCCACCAAAUAUACUAACGGCGAAGAGGAAGACCGACUCAGGAGUGGCAACCACAAAACAGUUUCUCGGGACACCGGAGGAGGUAAUUCCAGUCGGAAGCAAAAGCAAAAGGCUGAGGUAGCAGGUCCUGCCGAGGCAACAGUGUUGAAUCAAGGAAAGUUCAAAGGGAAACCUAAAGGGCCCGGGACCCCCAAGAAGGUGAAAGAUCAGGAAGGAAAUGAUGUGAUGGAUUUGCCAUGUCAUAUUCACACCAAGAAGGAUGAGGAGGGGAACCUGAUUCUCCCCAAGCAUACCACUCGACAAUGUCGACUCCUAAUCCAAAGCUUCUGAGAGAGUAAACCAAGCGAUAAGGACAAAGAGCAUGAGAAGGAAGAGGAGGAGAAGGACGAUGACGAUGGUUAUCCCAAUGUCAAUGCUACCUUGGUGAUUUUUGCUGAUCCAGAGAGCAGAAGUCGACUGAAGGUCAUUAACAGAGAGGUUAACAUGGUUGCUCCGACAACACCAAGGUAUCUGAAAGGGNNNNNNNNNNNNNNNNNNNNNNNNNNNNNNNNNNNNNNNNNNNNNNNNNNNNNNNNNNNNNNNNNNNNNNNNNNNNNNNNNNNNNNNNNNNNNNNNNNNNNNNNNNNNNNNNNNNNNNNNNNNNNNNNNNNNNNNNNNNNNNNNNNNNNNNNNNNNNNNNNNNNNNNNNNNNNNNNNNNNNNNNNNNNNNNNNNNNNNNNNNNNNNNNNNNNNNNNNNNNNNNNNNNNCCCAUCACAUUCGACCAGUCCGACCACCCGGCACGUGUAGCCACCCCUGGGCGGCAAGCGCUGGUGGUCGACCCAGUCAUAGGGGGCACCCAACUGACCAAGGUUCUGAUGGGUGGAGGUAGUGGUCUGAAUAUCUUGUAUGCUGAGGCCCUCAAAAGGAAUGGGCAUUCCAAUGUCCAAACUCAGUGAGAGCAACAUGCGAUUCCACGGAAUCAUUCCAGGCAAGAAAACCGAAUCACUCGGCCAAAUCACUCUUGACGUGGUUUUCGGCGAUGAAAAGAAUUUCCGCAAGGAGAAGUUGACGUUUGAGGUCGUAGAUUUCCAAAGCGCCUAUCAUGCCAUUCUAGGCAGACCCGCGUAUGCUAGCUUUAUGGCUCAACCAUGCUAUGUAUACCUCAAGAUGAAGAUGUCGGGCCCCAAGGGUGUGAUAACGGUUUCAGGCAACCGUAAGAGAGCAGAAGACUGUCUUCUGGACGGUGCAAAGAUAGCAGAUGAGCAGAUGGCAACAGUAGAAUUUCAAGGACACCAGAAGAUUGCAGAUCCGAGUGAUUUGCUGCGUGCCAAGAGGCCUGCUUUAGAGUCCACAUUUCAGUCGGCCGGUGAAACCAAGCCAGUUAACAUUCACCCGACUGACCCCAAUGCUGCUCCAAACCACAUCUCAACUACACUAGACAGCAAAUAGGAAGAAGUGCUCAUCCAGUUCCUCCGUGAGAACUAAGACAUCUUUGCAUGGAAGCCAGCUGACAUGCCAGGUGUACCCAGGGAACUGGCUGAGCACCGUUUGCGAGUCGAAUCCAAGGCAAAACCCGUUAAGGAACAUCUUCGUCGGUCCGCCACGGAGAAGGGGAAGGCCAUUGGCGAUGAGGUGGCCCGGCUUAUGGCCGCUGAGUUCAUCCGCGAGAUAUACCACUCCGAGUGGCUCGCCAAUGUCGUUAUGGUUCCCAAGAAAGACAAAUCACUUUGAAUGUGUAUUGACUUCAAGCACAUCAAUCGGGCCUGCCUGAAAGAUCAUUUUCCUCUACCCCGCAUCGAACAGAUAGUCAACUCAAUUGCGGGAUGUGAGCGACUGUCCUUCCUGGACGCUUACUCCAGGUACCAUCAGAUCCGAUUUUUUGGACACAAUGAGAUAAAGACGGCUUUCAUCACCCCGUUCGGAUGUUUUUGCUAUGUUACUAUGCCCUUCGGCCUCAAGAAUGCUAGUGCCACAUUCAUGCGCAUGAUUCAGAAGUGCCUGCUCACUCAAAUCAGUCAGAAUGUGGAGGCAUACAUGGAUGACAUAGUGGUUAAGUCAUACAAAGGUUCCGACCCGCUGACUGACCUUGCUGAAACCUUUGCCAACCUGAGAAGGUAUGAUAUCAAGCUUAAUCCGUCUAAGUGCACAUUUGAAGUCCCAGGCGGAAAGUUACUCGGUUUUCUCAUUUCCGAACGAGGGAUCGACGCAAACCCAGAAAAGAUUGGCACAAUCCUCCGAAUGAAAUGCCCAGUGCGCGUAGAUGACGUUCAGAAGCUUACUGGUUGCUUGGCUGCUUUGAGCCGAUUCAUCUCACGCCUCGGUGAAAAGGCACCGCCUCUUUACCGACUGAUGAAAAAAUCUGACAAGUUCGAGUGGAAUGACGAAGCUGAAGCAGCGUUUGAAGAGCUCAAAGCCCUGCUUUUCACCCAGCUGGUGCUUGCUGCUCUAGUUAGCAAGGAGCCUCUACUGCUUUACAUCUCAGCCAUAGGACAAGUUGUUAGCAUAGUGCUCACGGCCGAGCGGGAAGAAGAAGGCAAGGCCUUCAAGUUCAACGCCCCGUGUAUUACAUUUCUGAAGUCUUAACCCCAUCCAAGCAGAGAUAUCCUCACUAUCAGAAGCUUGUUUAUGGGAUUUACCUGACCACGAAGAAGGUUGCACAUUAUUUCUUUGAUCACUCAAUUUCAGUCAUCAGCGACGCUCCAUUAUCAUAGAUUCUGAAUAACAGAGAUGCAACUGGCCGAGUGGCAAAGUGGGCAAUUGAACUUCCUCCUUUGGAUAUCAGAUUUGAGGCAAAGAAGGCCAUUAAGUCUCAAGCAAUUGCAGAUUUCCUCGCAGAGUGGACUGAACAACAACAGCCGAUUCAAAUUUAGUCGAAACAUUGGACCAUGUUCUUUGAUGGAUCAAAGAUGUUAAAUGGCUCUGGUGCAGGAGUGGUUUUAGUGUCCCCACGAGGAGACAAGCUCAGUUAUGUCCCCCAGAUUCACUUUGACUCUUCAAACAAUGAAGCUGAGUAUGAGGCACUAUUAUAUGGGUUGCGUAUGGCCGUUUCACUCGGCGUCCGGCGCCUAAUGGUUUAUGGCGACUCAGGUUUAGUGGUUAACCAAGUAAUGAAGGAAUGAGACAUCAGGAGUCCUGCAAUGACUGGUUACUGUAAUGCAGUAAGAAAGCUAGAAAAUAAGUUUGAGGGGUUAGAGCUCCACCACAUCCCAUGAAUCAAAAAUCAAGUUGCUGAUGAUCUGGCGAAGAUAUGUUCCACUUGGAAGCCUAUUCCCAGCAAUGUGUUCUUAGAGCAUCUUCACACCCCAUCAGUACAACAGGAUCCCUUCAAGGAAGAGCCCCCGCAACCAAUAAGUUCAACCAACCUGACUGAGAUCAAAGUUCCAGCCGUGGUCGACCUGAUCAUGGAAGUCCUGGUGGUCACGCCCGAUUGGACAGUACCGUACAUUGCAUACAUUCUCAGGAAGGAACUCCCAGAGUAUGAAGAUGAAGCCCGCCAGAUAGUCCGUCGAUCGAAAGCCUUCACCGUAAUGAAAGGGCAGCUUUACAGAGGAAGCGUCACAGGAGUGGCCCAACGCUGCAUCACUCCGGAAGAAGGUCAAAUGAUCCUAAAUGUCAUCCACUCGGGGACCUGUGGUCACCAUGCGUCCUCUCGGACCAUCAUGGCCAAAGCAUACCGAGCGGGAUUUUAUUGGCCUCGAGCAAAUGAGAUGGCGAAAGAUAUAGUCGACAAGUGCGCAGGUUGCCAGUUCUACUCCAACAUGUCUCACAAGCCUACAUCUGCCCUAAAGACUAUUCCACUCGUCUGGCCGUUCGCAAUCUAGGGAUUGGAUGUGGUUGGGCCCUUCAAAACUGGUGCAAGUGGCUUCACCCAUUUGCUCGUAGCAGUCGACAAGUUUACCAAGUGGAUCGAAGCCAAGCCCAUCAAAAACCUUGGAGCAGGCAUUGCCGUCAGUUUCAUCAGAGAGUUGAUAUUCAGAUAUGGAAUUCCUCAUAGCAUCAUCACAGAUAACGGCUCCAAUUUUGAUUCUGAUGAGUUCAAGGCGUUCUAUGCAUGCCAAGGCACUCGGGUCGACUACGCGUCUGUCGCGCACCCGCAGUCGAAUGGACAGGCUAAAAGGGCGAAUGGUUUGAUCCUUCAGGGGUUAAAACCUCGCCUAAUGCGUGAUCUUAAACAUGCUGUUGGAGCUUGGGUGACCGAAUUGCUGUCAGUCUUAUGGGGACUGAGAACAACACCCAACCGGUCGACUGAACCCCAUUCUUCCUGGUGUACGGUGAUGAGGCUGUGCUUCCGAGUGACUUGCUACACAAUGCUCCCAGAGUUGAACUAUUCUCAGAAGUCGAAGUAGAGCAAGCACGCGAAGACACAGUCGAUCUCUUGGAGGAAGAACGUGAGAUGGCUUUGAUUCAGUCGACCAUUUAUCAGCAGGAUCUGCGUCGACUCCACACCCGCAGUGUCAGAGGUCGGGCGUUUCAAGGAGACCUUGUGCUCCGAGUGGUUCAGGAACAACCUCACAAGCUCGCUCCGGCCUGGGAAGGUCCCUUCAUCAUCACCAAGGUGCUUCACAAUGAGGCAUAUCACAUUUACAACAUAGACAAGAAAUUGGACGAGCCACAUGCAUGGAACGCAGAGCUGCUUCAUCCUUUCUAUACUUAAAAUCACUCGACCCAACGAGUUGUAAUAAAAGCACUUUAGUUUAUUUUCCAAAGACAAGAUUUUUUACAGUAUCAUAAUGAUUGGUUCCUCGUAAUCACUUGUGUCCAAAUCCCCCAGUGGGUGGCUUAGCUGCGAACCUGAUUUGCCUAAGUUAAAAAACACUCCGAGUGGAGAGCAAUCCUCCCACUCGGUGGCUUAGCUGCGAACCUGAUUCGCCUAAGUUAAAAAACACUCUGAGUGGAGAGCAAUCCUCCCACUCGGAGGCUUAGCUGCGACCCCGUAAUCGCCUAAGUUAAAAACAUUCUGAGUGGAGUGCAAUCCUCCCACUCGGACGCUUAGCUACGACCCCAUAAUCGCCUAAGUUAAAAAUAUUUCGAGUGGAGAGCAAUCCUCCCACUCGNNNNNNNNNNNNNNNNNNNNNNNNNNNNNNNNNNNNNNNNNNNNNNNNNNNNNNNNNNNNNNNNNNNNNNNNNNNNNNNNNNNNNNNNNNNNNNNNNNNNNNNNNNNNNNNNNNNNNNNNNNNNNNNNNNNNNNNNNNNNNNNNNNNNNNNNNNNNNNNNNNNNNNNNNNNNNNNNNNNNNNNNNNNNNNNNNNNNNNNNNNNNNNNNNNNNNNNNNNNNNNNNNNNNNNNNNNNNNNNNNNNNNNNNNNNNNNNNNNNNNNNNNNNNNNNNNNNNNNNNNNNNNNNNNNNNNNNNNNNNNNNNNNNNNNNNNNNNNNNNNNNNNAAUCGCCUAAGUUAAAAACAUUCUGAGUGGAGAGCAAUCCUCCCACUCGGGGGCUUAGCUGCGACCCCGUAAUCGCCAAAGUUAAAAACAUUCCGAGUGGAGAGCAAUCCUCCCACUCGGGGGCUUAGCUGCAACCCCAUAAUCGCCUAAGUUAAAAACAAUCCGAGUGGAGAGCAAUCCUCCCACUCGGGGGCUUAGCUGCGACCUCGUAAUCGCCUAAGUUAAAAACACUCCGAGUGGAGAGCAAUCCUCCCACUCGGAGGCUUAGUUGCGACCCCGUAAUCGCCUAAGUCACAAAUAUCCUAUGAGCUACGCCACAAUUACAAUGUUUCGUCCCUAUCCGCAAGGACGACGAGGUGUCGAUUGAACCUCACCUCUAAGCUAUGCCACAAGUACAAUAUUCCGUCCCUAUCCGCAAGGACGAUGAGGUGACGACUGAACCUCACCUCUGAGCUACGCCACAAGUACAAUGUUCCGUCCCUAUCCGCAAGGACGACAAGGCGUCAACUGAACAUCACCUCUGAGCCGCGCCACAAGUACAAUGUUCCGUCCCUAUCCGCAAGGAGGACGAGGUGUCGACUGAACACCGCGUCUGAGCUCUGUCACAAGUACGAUAUACUUUCAUUUGGUAAAGAGUGAGAAGAUCAAGUCCACUUGGAGCUGAAAGACAAUCAGAAACAAUUCAAAAAUAGAGCAAAAGUCACGAUAUUCAAAAGAAUUCAAGUUCGGAUAAACCCUGCAAAAGUUUAGGACCACAGCAGGCAGAAGUACUCAGGCAUCAAGCCUGAAAGAGUUUAACGAUUAGAUAAUCACUCGGCAUUCCGAGGCAAAUAAAGGUAGGGCAUAAUAUGUUUGGUCACUCAUCAGGAGAGGGACUUGCUGGAUCGCAGAAGCUGUCAAGAUCAAUGCUAUCCGCGAUGCGAGUGGCAACAUCAGGGAAAGUGUCCAUGAAGGACUGGAAAGUGUGCUUCUUGGUGUUCACAACCUUGAGGCCCGCCAGCUUGUCUUCUCUAACGUCCUUGCAGUGCACUCGGACCAAUGACAGGGCGACGUCAGCGCCGUAGCGAGCGGACGAUUUCUUCUAUUCUUGCACUCGGCCAGGUAUCUGAUUCAGUCGAGCCAUCAAAGACUCGAGAUCUUGUGAGACUUCCGCCUGAGGCCAGAGUUCAGCAUCAACCUGAGUCAUCGCUGCCUUCAGUCAGGCAAGAUAAGCAACAACACUGUCCAUGCGUGAUUCCAACCGCAACAAGUUCAUGGCCACAUCAUCUUUAACAUGACAAUUGAUGGGGUCGAGACCCGUCUCGACUCGCCCAGUCUCAGCCUCAAAGUCCUGACAAAGUUCUGCACAGUCAGGAAAAAUAGUGAGUCGACAGUAUGACGAGACAUACCAAUCGUCAGCAACAAAUCAAUCGAACAAUAAUACCUUCAAGCUUCAGGACCAGUUUUGCAGCAAGCUGUCCCAAAUAAGACUCUAGCUUGCCCUUCUUGGUCUUGAGGUUCACAACUUCAUUAGUCAAGUUGUCCUUGUCUUUCUUCAGUUGCUCGACCUCCCGAUUGGCAUCAGAGACAGCGGUCUUCAGCUUAGAGUUCUCCUCUUCUAACUUGCUGACUGAAGCCAGCUUCUUGUCAGCAAGCGUUGUUUUCUCUCACGCCUCCUUCUGGGCAGCAGCAAGAUCCUGAUCCUUCUUCUCGAGAGCCUGCUUCAUUUUCUCUAAAGAAAUAACAUUCUUCAUACGAGCUUGAAGUUGACGGUUUUCACUACGCACAUCUGUUCGAGUGAAGUCACUCGGUUCAAAGAGACUGAAAGAAAAAACACCGAGAAGCGUGAGUCACAAGAUGGACAGUGGGUUACCUCCCAUGAUAGUUGUUUCAUCCUGAGCAGUCUUGAAGUUCUUCUUCGCCAGUUCAAGAUCAAGAUGGAGGCUGAUUUGCUUCUUGUUCAGUUCAGAAAGUUGAGCCCCAAGAUCACAAAACCUCUGUAGUCAGCGAGUGAGAUAUAUUAGUCGACAGAAACAAAAGACAAUCACAGUGAAAGUUACUCUAAGACUACCGCCAAAUCAAACAUUCAACAGUAGUCUCGGGGACUACACCGAGUGGGUGCACUUAGCGUGCCCCCAAUGGUUUGAUUCAAUACUCAGCAUGGUCUUCCCAGCGUGAGUUCAAAAAAAAUAGAGGAGAUUCUUAGACCCCAACCGACUGCCAGCAGUCGACCGUGGUCUCGGGGACUACACCUAGUGGGUGCACUCUGCGUGCCCCCACUGGUUCGGACAAACACUCAAAUCAACCUAAGUCGACUAAAGUGGAAGACCUAUUCAACUCUAAGACAGACACACCCUAGUGGGUGAUUGGAUGUGAAACACAGACCCAUGAUAGUAGAUGCACAUAUGGGCAGCGAAGCAACAGCGGCAGUUUUCAUUAUUCAAAAGAUUAGUCGGGAAUCAACUAACCUUGACGUUCGUCUGCAGAACGAUGCUGGCAUUAUAAGCCACUUGACUGGCCUCGUGCACCAACUUCACCUGCUCCAUCACAAGAUUCACCUGGAGAAGAGCCUCCCUGGCGGCACUUGGCGAGCCGUCUGCAGUUUGGUACAUAACAAAGAGCGAUGGUGCCAAGGCAGUCGAAGCAACCACUGGGUCGGACGCAUGGAGUUGUACCGGAGCAGCAGGGGUCUAGGCAGUCGACCCUGAUGGGAGAUCAGUCAACAACGGGUUAGCGAAAGUGACGUUGGUCCGAACCGGAUCUCUGGAUCGCUCGACCACCGUCUCAAGCACCAGAGUCGACUGAGGGACCUGAACCUCAGGCGCUUUCCUGCUUGAUCCCUUGCCCCUCCUCCUCCUCUCGCUCAGAGGCACUUCUUCUUCUUCUUCAUCUGGAAGCACGACAACAUCUCGUGGAGCUACAACAAAAAGAAACAUCAGAAAUUCAACCGACCGACAUCUCAAUUGACAAGAAUAAAUUCGAGUCAAGCGGACUUACUAGCUCUGGAGGUGGCCGCAUCAUCGGAUUUCUCGUCACCUGGGGCCUUGUCAACGUCCAUAUCAGUCGCGGCGGAGGUAGGGCUGGAAAAGUGUACGAUCGAUUCGGUCAGAACAGAAGAGUCAGUUGGUGGAGGAAAACGCAGAAAGAACACUCACCCAGAGGCAACAAUAACAUCCAUGUUAAUCCGGGGCAAAGUCUUCCAAGCUUUUGGGGGAACAACCUUGGGCUGCUUGGCGACUUUCUCUAUCGGCUCCAGAGUUGAAGUCCGAGUACACGUUUGAGUUUGGGUGCUCGAGGCUACGGUCUUGCCGCACUCGCCCGCUGGAUCAUGGAGUAGUUUGGAUUGAUGUUCCGACCGAGGUGGUGAGUCGACCAUCUCUUUGUCGUCCGACUCGUCACCCUCCUCCCCGUCCUCAUCGUCUGGAGAUUGCCAAUCGUCGCUCUCCUCUGCGCUGUCCUCUCCCUCCUGGUCUUGCUCCAGAACCUGUUCGCCAUUGGGCAUCGAGUACAUCUCAGUAUAAACCUACAAGACAAGAAGUCAAGUGAAAGUCAGUCGGAUUCAAAGACAGUCGGAAGAUGUACACAAAUACAGUCGAUGGCAAAGGCCGAAUCUUGUCUGGCUGGUUGAUGUCACUGAAGGGGUCGACUCUCCUGGCGCCUCUAGGGUUGUCCUUGUUUCUUGUGAUGCUCCUCAACCACUGGGCCACAGUCUUGGACGGUACUUCCUCUGGAUGAACCCUAGCGGUGUCGUUGACCCUAGAAUACAUCCACAUGGAGUGGUCACGAGCCUGGAGUGGUUGGAUCCGCCGACUAAGAAAUACCUCCAGCAAAUCCAUGCCAGUGACGCCUUGAUUGAUCAACUGGACCACCCUCUCAACCAGCAUGUUUGUUUCCACCCUCUCCGCAGUGGUCACUUUCAAUGAAGAAGGGGUCUGAACACAAUCGAAAGUAAAAGGGGGAAGUCCAGUCGACUGGCCUGGAGUUGCAAUGUCCUGGUAGUAGAACCAGAUCGACUGCCAGCCCCUGACCGACUCGGGAAGGGUCAUGGAAGGGAAAGAGCUCCUCUUCCUCUUCUGGAUACCCAAACCCCCACACAUCUGGAUGACGUGUGUUUUCUCGUCACUCAUGUUAGCUUUCUUUACCGACUGGGAGCGGAUAGUGAAAAUGUGCUUGAAAAGACCCUAGUGCGGUCGACUGCCCAGAAAAUUCUCGCACAUGGACACGAAUGCGGCUAGGUAUGUGAUGGUAUUGGGGGAAAAGUGAUGGAGUUGGGCUCCGAAGAAGUUCAAGAAACCCCAAAAAAAAG
rnacentral:lncRNA from 1 species